rnacentral:lncRNA from 1 species
GCUAAUUGGUUUCAGGAGAAUCAUCAUCAUCAUUAACCCCACACAUAACUCACGAAACCCCAUUUUCUUUUUCUUUCUCCUCAUGCCAUGGAAUGGGAAAGCGGCCUGCCCACUUUAUAGAGGGUAAAGGAAAGAUUAAUUAAUUAUUGGAGGCUAAUAUAUUUAACAAGUCCUUGAACUUUGUUACUUUAUUUUAAUAAGCCCUCGUACUUUUGUUCCAUCCAAAUAAACCCUCAAACUUUCACUAAUACCCAAAUAAGCCCUUAAUCAUUGACAUCUGUCUAGGUUAUUAUUAUGUAAAAGUAGGCUAUUGUAAAUUAUAUUAUAUAUUUUUUAAUUUUUUAACACUUAUGCUACUUGUGGAUUGUAAAACUUUAUUGUUAGUGUGCCAAAUAUUUUCCAAUAAUUUAUUGAUAGUGUAUAAAAUUAUACAAUAUUAUUAUAUUAAGGAUGAGUAUUUAAUAUAGUGUACUUUUUUUUAUUCCUCAAAGAGCUUUAAAAAAUUGACAUAUGUCUUUUUUUUAAUAUUUUACUAUUACCAUGGAGGACACUUAUCAACUCCCUAACUCUGCUUGUAGAGUCUAAAAUUUUCAUUAAUUUUGUACCAAAUUAUUUUUAUUAUAUUAAAUAUAACCGUUAUCUAAUUAAUAAAAUUGGGUGAAUAUGGUAUUGAUUGCAUCACUCAGCAUAUUCAAAAUUUAAAUAUGAGUAUUGUGUUGUUUUAUUUCCAAAAAUAGACAGGUUAAUAUUAGAACAUACACGUAUGAUAUUAAAAAUAUAUAGUAUUUUGAGGGACAGAAAUGAUAGUAUUUCUUUUUCUUUUCUUUUCUUUUUUUGAGAAAAAAAUGAUAGUAUUUAAAAGAGAAAAAAAUUGUAUAAAUUAGAUUUUACAUAAGGACUUAUUUGGCCCUCCAAUUUGAUUUAUAAAAAAAGUCAUUGUAACCUUUCAUCUAUUAUUUUUACUUUUUUAUAGUCCUUAAACUUUUAUUUAUUGUCAAAUCACUUCAAAAUAGGUAGAAAAAUUGUUAACUAUGGUAAUGUGGCAUACACGCGGAUUACCAUAUGGAUGAUACAUGAAGAUUUAAUUAAUUUUUAAAAAUUUUAAAAAUUUAAAUAUAUAUAAAUUAUUUUUAAAAAUCAUUAAAAUUAUUUAAAAAGUAUUAACAUUAUAAAAAAUAUUUUUAAAUUUUUAAAAAAAUUAAUUAAAUGCUUACAUUCCACCUACGUGGGAAUCCACAUGUAUUUCACGAUAGCAAAGUUAACAAAUGUUAACAUUUUCAUCCAUUUUAAGUUGAUUUGACAAAAGAUACAAAUUUGAUGGUUAAAAGAAAGGGAAAAAUAAAUGGAGGGCUCAAUUGACUUUUUCUUUUUGUAAAAUUGGAUGGCCAAAAAAAUCAUUACACCAAUUUAUUUGGGCACACUCAUGUUGUGGGAGAAAAAUAUAUUCAUGUAACAAAUAUAUAUAAAAAAUUUAAUAUAAAUAAAGUAUGAGGUUUUUAUUGAAUGGUUAAGUAUAAAUGUGAAGGUAUGAGUUCAAAUUCUAUUAUGUGUGCUUGUUUUUCUAUUUUUCUAUAUAAAAGAUAUAAAAUGAUAAAAAACACCCUCAAAAUAAUAUAAUUUAUUUUGUAAAAUGAGAAUAAUUUUAUCUUUCUCAAUUGAGUUGAUAUUUGGUUAACAUGUGACAUUAAUUCAAUCAAGGGCCUUAUAAUAUAUAUAUAUACACACACAUACAUGAAUUUUGAUUUUGUGUAAUUUACGCAUGAAACUUGAAUUGCAGCUCGUAUGUAUACAUUUUAAUUCAAUUGUACACAUUUAAAUAAAUGGAUCUAUACAUUUAUUUUCAUAUUGAAUUAACAUAAUUGUUUGUGUAUAUAAAUAUAAACAUAAAACGACAUUAAUUUGAUAAUUCUAUAAUGAUUUGAGAAAAUUAAAUGAAAUAAAUUUUUCUUAUAUAAAAUCACUCAAAAUUAAAACUCGUGUGUAACAUUACACAUUAGAUUAAAAUAUCAAAAUUAAUAUUUCUCUAUAUUAUUUCCUUUUUAACUUUCCUCACUUUUACCUUUUUCUUUUUCUCUCUUCUUCCUUUCUUUUUAUCCAAACAAAGUAUCAUUGUAUAAGUGUUUAUAAGAAUCAAGGAAUAUAUAUUAGUAGUCUUUUGCUUCAAAAAAGGGUUAAAACUAAACUACUUAAAAAUACUAUUAAGAAAUUUGGUAAAAUAUAUUAUGAGGACAAAAUACAAACCCAUGCCAACAAAUAAUUGAUGAAAUUACAACUUUAAAUUCACAAUAUAUAUAUAUAACUAAUUUUCUAUUGAGAAUAAAAUUUAAAAAUUUUAGCCAUUAAUUUUUUUAUAUAAAUAAAAUAGUAUUAAGCGAUUACGACAAGAAGUAAGAAAUCCCAUGAGAUUCGGAAAACACCCAAAUAAUGUAACAACGACCCGUCAAUUGUGAGGGGACAUGAAGCACUUUACAAAUUAUGUAAUUUAAUUCCACAAAAGUAAAGAAGGGAAUAAGCUUUAGCUUUUUACUUUUUUUUUUGUCCUAAUCACGCAUUACCAAUAAAUAAAUAAAAAGUAAAUCAACAAAAAGUAUAAACUAGAAUUUAUAUUCUUAUCCUAUCAAAUAUAUAUACAAAGAAUUUAGAGAUAUUUUUUUUAAUAUAAACAUAUUAGUCACAAAUGUUGCAGGUAAAUUUAAUUAUAAAAUUUUAAAAAAAAAUUGUUUAAGCAUUCUAAUUUUCUUCAAGAUCUUCAUUAUAUUCCAUGAAAAAUGAACAAAAAAAAUAACAUAAGCAUUUUAUUAAAUUAUAUACAUUACAUUAAAAUAUAUUUCCUUUUAGCAGGUGAAAGGAAAAUUGUCUUCUUUGUCGUCUUCAGUAUAUAAUUUUAUUAAAUUAUAUACAUUACAUUAAACAUAUUAAAUUGUCUUAACAUGAUGACAUCAUUCUCACAAAAAAAAUGGUGUCUUAAACAUAACUAAAUUGUUCCGAGACGGUUUUGUUAUUAAUAAUAAUGUUUAUAUAUAUAUUACAUAUUUGUUAUUAAUAAUAAUUUUAGAAGUAUAUAUGGAUAAAAAUAAAUUUUAGAAUUAAUAGAUAAUAAUUUUAAGAAAUGUAAUUCUUUUUCACGAGACCUUUUUUUGGUUAACAACUAUAUUUUUUUUUAUAUCUCUCUUUUUUAUAUUUAAUUUCUAUAAUUUUUCUUCUUUUUUUAAAGAUAGUUUUUAUAAUUUUUCAUUUACAUUUGAAAAGAUCAUUUACAUUUAAAGAAAAAUAAUCUAUUAAAAUCUAAGAAACACAAUCCAUUUAUAUGUAAAAUUCUUGCGAUCAAAGAAAAGGAACUGUCACGUCUCGAAAUGUGGAUUAAAUAUUCAAGUUAAAUAUGUAACUGUUGUAUUUAUUUUAAUUUUCUGUUUGAGCGUGCAAUUGGCCCUUAACACUAGCAUUCUCUUUUCUCUUUUCUUCUUUUCUUCCUCUUUUUUUCCUGGCCGUCGUAUCCUAGUUAUCAUCGUAUCCCCCACCACCUUUGAACUGCCAAUUUCACUCCUAUUGUCGAAUUACCUUUUGUUGUUCAAACACCGUUAGUGUUUAGAACUGUCAAUAAUCAUUUCCCAUUCCCAAUUGUAGUAGGUUGGCAAGUGAAACUCCCUAUAUUGAUUAGACUCCAUUUUCGAUUACACAAUCAAGUUGUGGUUAACCCUCUUCCAUUUUGUUCAAUCGAUUUCUACUAGAUCUUCUUGAAACCUUUAAUGUCAAUUCCAAAUGUGUGAUGUUUUGUGUGUAUGUCAAAUAAAGGAUCUGAUCUAGAUGAGAACAUAUCAUAUUUGAACUAUAUAAGUACAUCGAAGGAGUGAGGGUGUCACACGAGGUUGUAGGUGAAGGUGUGUGUCUUGACUGUUUGUUCCGUGUAUGUGUCUUAACAGUUUAUAGCCGUGUAUGUAUGGGUUAGGCCAAACAUAUUGUCGAAACCAUUUUUUUUUUGAAAACGGUAUUGACUUUUUAUUUUGAAAAUGAAAACGAACAGAGGAGUCGCCACCAAUCCUUUUUGAUGAGCUGUGAUCGGGUCACCUCGUAAAAGUGGUUGUUUUUAAUAAAUGAUUUGAUUUAUUUAAACAACGAUUUUGGUCCGUGAAUAUUCAGAAAAACGGGUUCGGGAGUCAGUUACGUACGAGGAAGGAUUAGCACCCUCAUAACGCCCAAAAAUUGGUACCUAGUUGAUUAAUUAGUGUCUUAGUGUCAAAAAUUAAAAACUUGAGAGACUUUAAAAUACGAUCCCUCUUUUUGUAAAAAAAACUCGAAUGUUAAAGACCUUCUCGUUUCGAAGUAAUAAAAUGUCACAUCCAGUAAGUUAGGACACGACAUCUCAAACUUUUAAGAAUGAGCUUGCAUUUAUUUAAAAUUCAUGUAUUUUAACCUUUUAAAAGGAUGUUCAGUUAUUUAGGAUAAACGAGAAAAGUCAAAACCCAGUAAGUUAGGGCACGUUUUCUCGAAUUUUCAAAUAUCGAAUAUUGCCUUUAUUUGCAAAAAUUCUUAUCUCGAGGUAACAAGAUGUCAUAUCCAGUAAGUUAGGACAGAACACCUCGUAUCUCUGAGAGUAAGUAUUUUAUUCAAAACUCGUAUUACAAUUCAAAAGACUAUUCUGUUAUUUAGGUUAAAUGAGAAAAAUCGAAAACCAAUAAGUUAGGGUGCGAUUUUUUCGAAUUUCUAAAUAUGAAAUGUUGCCUUUAUAAGAGAAUUAAUUUUGGGUUGGGUAAAAUAUAAGUUCAUAAUGAAACGAGAUAAUACAGAAUGUAUAAACAAAUACAAAUUUCGGUAUUGACAGGCAUGACAGAAUAAAUAUAAAUGCGAAUGUGAACGAUAGCGAUAAAAGCAAAAAUAAAAUGAAACGGAUGAGCUAAAAUAAGAGAGAAAUAAUAAAUAAGCUAAAAGUAUUUGAAAAUAAAGAAACUAGUGGUAAAUAAAGAUUAUGUGAAACUAUUUAAAAAGAUAAUAAUAGUGAUGAUGAUAAUAAUAUGAAAAAUAUAACAAUAGUGAAAUAAUAAUAUAGAUAUAAUGCUUAAAAUAUAAUAAUAUCGAAAAUAUAAAUAGAUAGAAAUAUAAAUAGGUAAGUAACAAGAAAAUCUAUAUAGAUGAAAAUAUAGUAGUAAUAAUAAUACUAUAGUAAUAAUGAUAAUAAAAAAUUAGUAAUAAUAAUAAAAUAAUAAAAUAUAAUGGUGACAGUAAUUAAAAAAUAUUAAUAGUGAUAAAAUAAGGUGAUAAUAAUAAUAUAUUGAUAAUAACUAAUAAAAGGAAUAAAAAUAAUAGUAACGAUAAGAAUAUUAAUAAUAACAAUAAUAUAAAUAAUAAUAUAUACAUGAAUAAUAAUAAUAAUAUAAAGAAUAGGGAAUAAUAAUAUACUAAUAAGAAUAAUAAUAGGUUAAUAAUAAUAGGAGGAAAUAAUAAUAAUAUAUUAAUAAGGAUACAAAUAAUAAUAAUGAUAAUAAUAAUAAUAAUAAUAAUGUUAAAAUGGCAAAAAUAACUAAAAGGACUAAAUUGAACUUAAAAUAGGAGUUCCAGGCGAAUUUGGAAUAAAAAUACAAAGAAAAUGACAAAUUUGGGUGCGCGGAUAACAAGGGAGGACCAAAAUGGGCAAUAUCCCAUCUUCUUAAAACGCACAGCACCAAGAGGGACCCAAUUGAACUCCAAGCAAAAGUUCAGGGCGAGAUUAAAAUAAAGAAAAAACUUAAUUGCAAAGUAAUAAAAAGGCAGAAGGGCUAAAAGUGCAAUUAGCCCUUCUGUCCAAAAACAUGCGGAUCUUCAACAAGGGGGUCGAAUUGGGUCGGCCUUCCUAAAACGACGUCGUUUUGGGGUCUAGGGAGGCCAAUGAAAACGACAUUGUUUCUUUGGUGUGAUAAAAGCAAAAAUUUUUAUAAAAAAUUCAUUUUCCCUUGUUUUAGGGAAAAAAAGGGGGGCUCUCUCAUUUCUCUCUGGCCGAAGCCAGAAUCUGGCGAGGAAACCGCCAUAGGGUCGCCACCGGCCACUGCGAAACUCCGAAAGGUACUUUUUUUAUAUUUUUUUCUCUUUUUUUAUAUGUUUGUAAUAUUCGUAUAUAUGCAAGGAAAUAGAUUCAGAAAUAGGAAAGAAAUAAAAUAAAAUCACCUUAGUUUUCAGGUUUGAUUUUUAGUAUUUUUCUCUAAUUUGAGACUAUCCCCCUGUUUUGGAGUUGUUAAAGUCACUAUUUCACUUGUAUUUUAAAAUUGAAUGCUUCGUGUUUGUAAAGAAAAAAUUGUCGAAUGUUACAAAUUGACUUUGGCUUGGCUUUUUAAAGCCAUUUUACAUGAUUUUUUUUAUUAUUUUCUGUCUCUUCUUCAUUUAAUCUUACAAGUGCAAGUGGAGGCACUGACUAGGGCGGUGGAAUAGGUGGCCAACUGGCGUGGGGCAAGGGGACGUCGGCGUUGCUAGGGGUUGAUUAGGGUUUCAACUUUUUUGAAACCCUAAAUCUGGCUAGUUGGGUCAAGAAUUUGGGCUUGUGUGGGUUUGGGUCAGCUUUGUUUGGGUUAGGGCUGUAAUGGGUCUUGGUUUUAGGUAGGUCUAUUUAGAUUGGGUUUUUUGUUUGGGUUAAAGUUGUAAAAUGGGCUUGGGCAAUUUGGGCCUUCUACAACUGCCCCUCUUUGCUUGUUGUCGUGUAACGAAAAUAGAGCAAAGACAUAAAGAAGGGUCAAUUUUGCCCGGUUUUGCUAAGUCUCAACUUCUUUGGUGCUCCGCUUCUUCAUGUAGCCUCGCUCCAAUCCACUGCGUCUUCAGAGAGAGAAAGUUUGUGAAUUAUAGCUUUAAUCUACUCCACUGCAGCUUCAGGGAGAUAAGAUUCGCUAUCUUCAGUCUGCUCCACUACAACUUCAGGGAGAUAAGACUAGUGACUUCAAGCCGCUCCAAUGCCAUUUCAGGGAGAAGAAAUUUGUAGCUUCGAUCUACUCCACUAGAGCUUCAAGGAGAUACGAACUAUGGCUUUGAGCCUCUCCAGUGCCAUUUCAGGGAGAAGAGAUUUGUAGCUUCGAUCUACUCCGCUGGAACUUCAAGGAGAUAUGAAUUGUGGCUUUGAGCCUCUCAGUGCCAUUUCAGGGAGAAGAGAUUUGUAGCUUCGAUCUACUCCACUGGAACUUUAAGGAGAUACGAAUUGUGGCUUCGAACCUCUCCAGUGCCAUUUCAUGGAGAAGAGAUUUGUAGCUUCGAUCUACUCCGCUGGAACUUCAAGGAGAUACGAAUUUUGGCUUCGAGCCUCUUCAAUGCCAUUUCAGGGAGAAGAGAUUUGUAGCUUCGAUCUACUCUGCUGGAACUUCAAGGAGAUACGAAUUGUGGCUUCGAGCCUCUCCAGUGCCAUUUCAAAGAGAAGAGAUUUUUAGCUUCGAUCUACUCCACUAGAACUUCAAGAAAAUACGAAUUAUGGUUUCCAGCCUGUUACCUUACUGCUUAGGGGGUUAAGGCUUGUGAAUUCACUGAUCUAGGGACAUGACCUGUAGAAUUGGUUUCAUGUAUCUAUGCUUACGCCAAAUAAUUAGGAUACUAUGAUCGAAAUGAAUCGAAUGCACCUAACUAGAUGUGUUAUGAAUGAUCUAUAAAUGAAUGAGUCCAGCAUGUUAUGAGAAUGAUUCCUUUUUAAUGUUUGGGUUGCCAUUGCUCUUUGUUCAUCAAGGUUCUAUCAUUGAAACAAUAUCUUGUCUUCUUGUUCAGCUUAGAUCUUAGACAAAAAACCUGAAGAGGUAGUCCCAAUUGAAACUCUUAUUUCUCAAAUAUUUCCAAUCCUUAGGUUUGAUUAGUUCUAAAUAAUAGUCAUGUUUCAGGUUCCUGUACUAUUUAGAAACUUUCAGAGUAAUAUGCAGAACUCCUUUUGUGAAAGUGUCAUUAGUCCAUUAAUCGUCAUUUCGAUACAAAAUGCUUGAAAAAGAUCAUAACAAUGACAAAAUUGAAAUUUGUCAGAAACAAAAUUUGAAGGGAAUAGAUUAAUCACAGAAAGCAAACAUUGCUGGAAUACAAAAUAAAUAAAAAGAAAAUAGGUGCCUCAGAUAUCACAACGUGAGCUUCUCUGUACGAACUUCUUAAGGACUCCCUUUUUUUAGCCUAAUAUGUGUUUAGGGGAUCUAGAGUACCCUUGUUGAUGCCCCAAGAUGUAACAUCUCUCCUCCUUGUUAAUUCAGGUAUCGCAAGACUACCGCAUGCCCCACAUUCGAUCAAAAUUUGAAUCGCCCUUUACGGGUUUUCAAUUCAAAAUCUCUUUGGUCUCAAGAUGCCCUUUGUGAGUUUUCACCUUGGCCUCUCCCCCUUUUUUUUUAGGCGAAGUAUUUCUUAACUGAAUCUAAAUUCACAUGAUUGGGUAAAAUCUUCCUAUCCAUUUCGGUCAAUAUCAACGCUCCUCUAGAAAAUGCCUUCUUUACCACAUAAGGUCCUUCCCAAUUCGGCAUCCAUUUUCCUCUAAAAUCCUUUUGUAUAGGCAAGAUCCUUUUUAAUACUAGGUCUCCCUCGCGAAAUUCUCUAGGACGAACCUUUUUUUUGUAAGCUCGUCUCAUUCGCUUUUGGUACAUCUGACCAUGACGGAUAGCCCUUAGCCUCUUUUCUUCAAUCAAAUUCAAUUGAUUGUAUUGGGACUAGAUCCAUUCUGCUCAUCCAACUUUACUUCUGACAAAACUCUGAGGGAAGGAAUCUCGACCUCAAUGGGUAAAACUGCCUUCAUUCCAUAGACCAAUGAGAAAGACGUUGCCCCGGUAGAAGUCUUGAUAGAUGUUCAAUAAGCAUAGAGGGUGAAUGGUAACUUCUCAUGCCAGUCUUUAUAAGUCUCAGUCAUUUUCCCCACAAUCUUCUUAAUGUUUUUAUUAGUUGCCUCAACUGCACCGUUCAUCUUUGGGCGAUACGGUGACAAGUUGUGGUGUCUGAUCUUGAACUGACUGCAGACUUCCGCUAUUGUGCUAUUGUUCAAAUUCAAUGCAUUGCCAGAUAUGAUCCUUUCUGGCAUUCCAUAUCGACAAAUGAUUUCCUUUUUUAGGAACUUGUUAACUACCGAUUUUGUAACGUUGGCAUAUGAAGCGGCCUCUACCCACUUGGUGAAAUAGUCGAUGACUACAAAGAUGAAUCGAUGCCUAUUUUAAGCUUUUGGUGAAAUUGGCCCAAUCACAUCCAUACUCCACAUCGAGAAAGGCCAUGGAGAAGUCAUAAGAUGCAGAGGUGAAGGAGGCACAUGAAUCUCGUCCCCAUAGAUUUGACACUUAUAACAUCUAUUGGCGUAGUUAAUACAAUCCCCUUCCAUGGUGGACCAAUAAUAACCAAACCUCAUAAUUUGCCUAGCCAUUGUAAAGCCAUUAGCGUGUGUCCCACAGAUGCCCUCAUAGACUUCUUCCAAGAUUUUCUUAGCCUCUAUAGUGUCUACACAUCUUAAUAGCACCUGAUCCUUCCUUCUUUUGUGUAGGAUCUCCCCGUCUAAGACGUAAUCACUGGCCAGUCUUCUCAAUGUCCUUUUGUCAUUCUUAGUAGCUUGGUUGGGGUACUCACGAUUCUGCACAUAUCGCAGUAUAUCAUGGUACUAAGGAUUAUCAUCCUUUUCUUCUUCUUCUUCAAUGUUGUAACAAUGAGCCGAAGCCUCGUAAAUACUCAUUUGGAUCAAUUUCACAUCCUCUUGUUUGUUCGCCUUGAUCAUAGACGCUAAGGUUGCUAAGGCGUCAGCCAUUUGAUUUUGUUCUCGCGGAAGGUAGCAGAAGAAAAUAUCAUCAAACUCUUUAAUUAAUUCAAGGACCAGACUUCGGUAAUUGAUCAACUUGGGGUCUCUCGUCUCCCAUUCACUUAUGAGUUGAUAAAUCACUAACGCAGAAUCUCCAUAUACUUCUAGCAUUUUAAUCUUGUGUUCUAUGGCUGCGCGGAUGCCCAUGAUGCAUGCUUCGUAUUCAACCAUAUUGUUUGUGCAAUAAAAAUUCAAUUUACUAGUGAAGAGAUAAUGAUCUCCGUUUGGGGAUACCGAGACUGCCCCGAUUCUAUUACCCACAGCAUUUGAUGCUCCAUCGAAGUUUAGCUUCCAAGGAUGACCUUCUUGAGAGUCUUCUUCAGUAGUUUCCACGUACAUUAGAUCUUAAUUUGGGAAAUCAAAGUUCAGAGGCUCGUAAUCUUCUAAAGCUCUACUGGCUAAAAAAUCUGCUAUCGCACUCCCUUUUACAGCUUUCUGGUUCACAUAGACUAUAUCAAAUUCGGAAAGAAAAAUUUGCCAUUAGGCCAUUCUCCCAUUCAAAGCAGUCCAAUCCAUCAUGUAUUUCAGAAGGUCGAGUUUUGAGAUGAGCCAAGUUGUGUGAUACAGCAUAUACUGUCUCAAUCUCUGGGUUGUCCAGAUUAAGGUACGACACAAUUUUUCAAUUGGCAAGUAUCUUGUCUCACACUUAGUGAACUUCUUACUGAGGUAAUAUCGCUUUUUCUUUCCUUACUGACUCAUCGUGUUGGCCAAGCACACAUCCCAUAGAAUUUUCAAAUACUGCCAAAUAUAGUAUUAGUGGCUUAUCUGGAUUAGUUGGUGUUAACACUGGGGCAUUAGACAAGUAUUGCUUAACCUUAUCAAAAGUCUUCUAACAUUCCUCAUCCCAAACACUAGGGUUGUGUUUCUUAAGGAGAUAGAAUAUGGGGUCACAUUUCUUAAUUAGUUAUGAAAUGAACCGAGCGAUGUAAUUUAGUCUUUCUAGGAAUUCUCGAACUUCCUUUUGAAUACGCGAUAGAAGUAACUCUUGUAUGGCUUUGACUUUAUCUGGGUCAAUCUCAAUCCCUUUUUCACUGACUACGAAUCUUAGCAGCUUCCCUGACCUGGCCCCAAAGGUACAUUUUAUUGGAUUAAGUUUUAGCUGGAAUUUCCUCAAGCUCAAAAAUAAUUUCUUCAAGACUUGCACAUGCUUCUCUUCUGUCCGGGAUUUGGCGAUCAUGUCGUCGACAUAGACUUCAAUUUCUUUGUGCAUCAUAUCAUGGAACAGAGUUACCAUGGCUUUCUGAUAUGUUGCUCCCGCAUUUUUCAGUCCAAAUGGCAUCACCUUAUAGUAAAAGGUUCCCCACAUGGUUACAAAUAUGGUCUUAUUCAUGUCUUCAAGAUGCAUAUUUAUCUGAUUGUACCCUGAGAAACCAUCCAUGAAGGAGAACAAUGAAUAACCUACCGUGUUGUCCACUAAGGUGUCGAUAUGGGGCAAUGAAAAAUUGUCCUUCGGGCUGGCUUUGUUCAAAUCUCUGUAGUCUACACACAUCUGUACUUUUCCAUCUUUUUUAGAGACGGGGACGAUAUUGGCUACCCAUUCUGAGUACUUAACUACUUGUAAGAAGCCAGCAUCGAAUUGCUUCCUAACCUCUUCUUUUAUUUUCAACAAAACAUCGGGCCUCAUCCUUCGGAGCUUUUGUUGAACUGGCUUGCACUCUUCUUUUAUGGGGAGCCAAUGUACCACGAUAUCAGCACUUAGCCCUAGCAUAUCUUGAUAUGACCAGACAAAGACAUCUUUGAACUCUUGGAGUAACUCAAUGAGGUCCUGCUUUGUCUCUGUGGUAAUGCAAGCUCCGAUCUUUACUUCUUUCUUUUCUAGUUAAUCUCCCAAGUUCACGAAUUCUACUGACUCUUUGUGAGGUAGAAUCUGUUUCUCCUCUUAUUCUACCAUCCUCAACAAAUUAGGGGAUAAGUUACAGUCUCUGUCAUCUUUAAAGUCCUGAGAUCCCUCUAGACACAUAUCUCGCUCAAAAGGAUACUCUAAGUUAGUAACAACGUCGCUCAUAUCGUUGAUAUCUAGAGACCUAUUAUAGGUGCGAAGAAAGAUACAAAGAAUAAGAGAAUCUAAGAAUAAUGACAUGUAUGGUAUGAUUAUGAAUGAAAGAACAAAAGAAUAUUUGCACGGAAUAAGACAAAAGGAUGUAUUUCAUUGAAAUAACAAUUUUUAACAUAAGCUUAUUUCACAUAAAUGACUCUUAUUACUCCUAGGCCUAGAGCAAUAAGUGUGUUUUGGACAUUACUCUGUGUUAAUUCUAAAGACUACAGGAAUCUCUUCCGCAGUCCAAUUAUUCAGAACACUUCCCGGCUCAUAAGGGCGAAUGCCCGGCAAAUUUUCUACUCUAGUUCCUUCUUUGUAUGUGGCAUUGAUGUCCAAAUUUCCCAACAUUUCUUCCACGAUUUCCUUUCUUGACGUCCCCCACUCAGGGUGAAUGACUCCUCCAAACCCAAAAGCUUUCGAUACAUGGGGAAAGACCAUUGGUUCCCAUUAGAUCUCCUCCCCGCUCAAUUGUGCUCUCCUUCUCUCUUGCUUCUUCUCCAGUUCCUUCUUUCUUUGUUUCAUGUCUGGCUUAAAUCCUAACCUAAAACAGUCUUGUUUGUCCUUCAUUAUUGGUGUAUUAAUCCUUCCUUGGAGGUAUGUCCCGAGUUCUCUUCCCGGUAGGGCCCAUUUUCCAACAGUUAGCCGUAGUCCCAUUCUUGUAGUCUCAGAUAACCUAGGCAUUAGAAUCCUAUUUCCUUCAGUAAUGAAUGUCACAUUCACAAACUCUAAAGACCGAAAGGAGCAUUCGAUUGCUUCAUUGUUUUCCUCUAGAUAUGGCGCGUCACUGGUCACCGCUGUGAUGAUGUCUUCUUCGGCAUUUAUUGUUACCAACCGAUCUUCGGUUACCAAUUUCAACUUUUGGUGUAGCGAUGAAGGGACUGCCCCUGCUGAGUGUCUCCAUGUUCUCCCCAAUAGGCAAUUAUACGAAGGCUUGAUGUCCAUGACUAGGAAAUCUACCUCGUACAUGCUAGGACCGAUUAGAAGGGAUAUUUCGAUUCUGCCCAUUACCUUCCUUUCUGUUUCAUCGAAUGCGCUCACUAUGUUUUGGCAGGCUUUUAUGUGAGAACUAUCUACAGGCAGCCUGUUCAACAUGGAUAAUGGUAGAACAUUCAAGGCCGAUCCAUUGUCAACCAAUACCCCCGAUAAUGUAUACCCCUUACAGCGGGUUGUGAUGUGCAAAGCCUUAGUCAAUCCCCUCCCUCUUGGCGGUACUUCAUCAUCAUUGAAGAAUAUAAAGUUGUCGGCACUUAUAUUGCUGACUAGGCAGUCCAGCUUGUUUACUAAAAUAUCGUUAGCGACAUAAGUUUCAUUCAGCACCUUCAUCAAUGCGCUACGAUGGGUUUCUGAGCUUAAGAGUAAGGCCAGUAUCGAUAUACGAGCUGGCUAUUUGUGCAACUGUUCCACGACAUUAUACUCACUGUGUUUUAGAAAUUUUAAGAAUUUCUUGGCUUCUUUUUCCGUUACGGAUUCAUUAAUAGUCGGUUCAAGUCUAACCGGCUUUUCUUUCUUUUGCACAAUCACCAAUGAUUUUCCUUUAACAUGCUCAACUUUUGCAUUUGGGGUAACAUAACGCCUUCCGCUGCGCGUAUAAAAACCUACGUCUUGACCUUCCUCUAAUGUGUUAGCCGAGAUUUCCUCUCUCGGGAUUGUCACAUUGCAGUUAUAGUUCCAAGGUACCCUUUUACUAUCUUUAUAAAGGAAAGCAACAGGAUUCUGGAUUACGACUUUUAGUGAGACUUGUGCCCCAGCUUCGUUAAUUCUCGAUCGUGAUAUGAUAACCACUAGGUGGUGGGCUUUGUAAAUAUUCUUAGUUGACCUCUCGAGGCACACACAUCUGUUUCUUCUUGGCUUCCGACAUACUCAAAGAAUUCUAGCUCCUUAUUAUCCAUCAAUCCUUGUACUAGAGCCCUGAAUUCACUGCAUUUUUUAAUCUCAUAAUCCUCUUGAUCAUGGAACUCGCAAUAAUUCUUUCCAUCUCAGGGAUUUUCCCUUGAAUUCUGCAUUAUCAACCCUCUUUCCACCAUUUUCUUCCAUACUUCUUUCAAUGGGGUAUUCACUUCUGUGACAUUCAUCUUGAUUUCUUUCCCCGAACUCUUGGUUAUCGCAUUUAUCCCUUUAUCUCCAUGGUUAGGUAACGAAUUUUCUGUACUAGAUGUAUCAUCAAAUUUCACGAUGACCAGUUGAAUGAGUCUUUCAAUCAACUUUUUGAAAGUAAUGCAGUUUUCUAUCAAGUGUCCCGUGGUUCCCACAUGGUACUCGCAUUGAGCAUUUGCGUCAUACCAUUUAGGGUACAGGGGUUGCAUUGGCUUUAAAUAGAGGGGAGACACAACACGUGCAUCUAAUAAACUUUGAUAUAACUCCUUAUACGUCAUUGGGAUAGGCGUAAAUUGGAGUUUCUCCCUAUUUUGCUUUGUGUUGGGCUCUUGUCUAGGUGGGCCCUGCUGACCAAUGGUUGUUGACCUCGGUUGGCUUAUGGUGAUUGAUUUCGAAUAUGUGCUCACAUUAUUUACCUCGUGCUCUUUCUUUCUCGGGGCUAGCUUUUUGGCAUUUUCUCCAGCCUUAAUCUUCCCGCAUCUUAUCGUAUUUUCUAUCAUCUCUCCAGACAUUACAAUGUUUGAAAAAAUCUUAGUAGCACUUCCUAGCAUGUGGUUGAUUAAUGAAGCCUUCUGCAUAUUGAUAAAGAGCAUGGUUAUUUCUUUCUCCAGAAGAGGUGGUUGGACUUGCGUUGCCACCUCUCUCCAUCUUUGGGAGUACUACCUGAAGCUCUCAAUUUGUUUCUUCUCCAUGUUUUGUAACGUGAUUCUAUCAGGGGCCAUGUCCGUCACGUGACUGUACUGCUUCAUGAAAGCUUGUGCUAGAUCCCUCCAUGAAUUGAUCUGGGUACGACUCAGUUGGUUGUACCAUUUAGAUGCUGCCCCAACAAGGCUUUCUUGGAAACAGUGAAUCAAUAAUUGGUAAUUGUUGACAUAGCCUGCCAUUCAUCUGCAGAAUAUAGUGAUGUGAGCUUUGAGACAGCUAGUCCCGUUGUACUUCUCAAAUUUCAGAGUUUUGAACUUGAGGGGAGCACCAAGUCUAGAACGAAGCUUAAUUCUUUAGCAUCGAUUCCACCACGAUAGUCGGCGUUUUCCAUUUCUUUAAAUUUUCCUUCUAACCAUCUACACCAUUCUUCAAGUUCUUUCGGGAUCUCUACCCUUGUCUUUUAUGUUUCUAUCACAUCUUCGAGAUCGUGGACAAUAGGGUUAGUCGGGUUAUCCCUCAAAUUAGAGCCCGAGCCAGCCUGAUAGUUCAUUGGCACUGAAACACCAGCUUGAAAUGGCUAGGACCUAAUUAUGACUGAUGGCCUUCUUGGGUACAUAUCAGGUUGUGUCUGAAUGUUUUUUGGGGCAAAACCCGGAGGGUAGAUAGGAUUUUCAUUAUCAUCUCCCGCAUUAAUCAUGGGGCUUUUCCCUUUUUCUAACCUGCUAGCCAGUAAUCGCGUUAAUUAAUCCAUCAUACUUCUUUCGGACUCCAGCAUCUGGUCCCUCACAUCUUGCUGGAUUUUGGCCAGCUGUUCUUGCAUACAUGUUUGUAGUUGAUCCUGCAUCUCUUUUUUUCAUUUUUUCCAAUCUCUUUAACCUUUGGUCCAUUGCUUUUGUCUUUCCUCUUGUACCGUAACGAUGUUCCAGGGUAGCUGCAAUGAUUUUUAGGGUUUUUUUUGUAAGUUUUAGUGCGUAUGAUGCAAUGCUGAUGCAUGAAUGCAAUGAAUGCAAAAAAGGCAUGGAUUCUAAUUCAAUUUCAUUAGAGUAACUUUUCUAGAAAACAAGUUUCUUUACAUAAAACAAAUUACAUAUAAGGCUUGGCCCUGAUACUUAAGGCCUUGACCUACCUAAAAAGCCAAGCUAGCUCUCGGCCUCGGUCCGAUUCUGACUCGUAUUUUAAACUCAACACAUCGGCUUGGACUGCUAAUGUUUGUAAGUGAUCGGCCACUUCUUGCACUUGGGUCAAAGCUUUCCCCAUGACGUAAUCCCUGUUCCUGACCUGAUCUUGAGAUUGAUGAAGUUGCUCUUUCCAUCGCUCAUUAUUUACCUCAAGGAGUUCAAUCUGAAGUUCUCGAUUUUGCAGCGCUGCUUUAAGUUCUUCUAUCUUCUCUUUUAACUCUUCAAUUCUGCUUUAACUAGCUUUUAACUCGAUUACAAAGUUACGAGUACGAUACUAAUACAAGGACCUUUCUAACUUUGACACCCGAAUCUUUAAUCCCUCUUUUUCAUUUUGGCUUUCUACCAAACUUCUUUUUAGAGUGCCUUUUCGAGCUUGAGCAUCUCGAAAUUUUUCUUCCCAUUGGCUGACUUUAUUUUUCUCCUCUUUAACUUCCUGCUGCCACUGUUCAGACGUUUUUUCUAACCUAGUGGCUCCCAUUGACCUUCGCAGCUUCUUGUAGUCUGUUUUCAAAUUAUCCAAAUCCUCUUCAACCUUAUUUUUCCCUUUUCUGAGUCUUUCAGCUUCUAGUUUUUGGACAUCGACAUCUAACCCCAGCUGCAUUUUUUUUCCUCCAAUUGCUCGAUCCUUUUUUCUAGUUCCAGACUCUUUUUCUCGAAAUCUUGUCUGAUGAUCUCUAGCUCAAAUAAGAUCACUUUCAAGUGUUCUUCCAUUGAUCAGAUGUUUUCUUGAUCUGACAUAGGGAUGUUGUCGUUGAUCCUCUGAUCCCACCACCGAUCAUACUCAGGGGUAGUCAUAGGAUUGGCUGCAAACCUUUUCAUUCUACGAGUCUGGUGCCAGGCAUUCGAUAUCUCACGAAAUUUCUUUUUGUAAUUAUUCCCCAUGUAUACGAACUCGCACUAAGCUAAACUGUGUGUUAGUGGCGUGAGCUGUCUUGAUCUGUAUUGUCUUAACGCAAGCAGAUGAGCAUACCCGACAACUCCUCAUAUUCCUAACAAGGGAACCCAAUCAAAAUCUCCACAUCGAUAUAAUAUUUCGUCAGGAACCAUUCACGGGGCUCUCCAUUCGAUGUCUUCCUCUUGCAAAUUCUGAAGAACCGUCAUCCAAUUUUUCUUUGUAAUAUCAUCUUAUCGCGGCGUAGCCACUAGCUCUUUUAGUGGAGAGUAGUUUUCGGAGAAGAUGCGAUACGAAACAUUUUCCACUUUCUAAAAGUGGCUGUGGAACCAAUAUAGCAAGAGCUGUGCGCAUCCAAUAAAUCUCCCUUCACCCGCUCUUCGACAAGCAUUCAAUGCUCUGAAAGUUUCAGCCAAAAUCGCGAGUACAGGUGUGACCCUUUUACUAAGCCUGUCAAAAAUAUCAGAAACCGCCUCGUCCACAUGCCCCAAAGCUUUGGGGAAGAUGACCAGUCCAUAAAUACUUAAAGCAAAGACAUCUACCUUCUUCUUCACAUCGGGAUGCACUAAGAUUAAAUCCCUCAAAUUCCUCCAAGGGAUGCACUUACAAUCUCCUUUUUGUUUGAUUCAGGCGGUAACCCACUAUUCGCUCAUCCCUGUGAUGUUCAUCAACCUCUUUGAGUAUGCUGAGACGUUGGCAGCUCUGGAAUAAAUUCUAUCAACCUGAAUCUUUGGGCAACGGAGCAAGGUUGUGUACUUUUCUAUGGUAGGUACCAAAUCUACCUUUCCGAAAGUGAAGCAACUGUAAGCAGAAUUCCAAUACUGGGCGAGGGCUCGAAAUAGGUGCUCGUCUACCUUGAUAUCGAGCAGAUAGGGUAAAUCACCAUAAUGACAGUAAAAUAGUUGUUUGAUCUCAUUAUCCCACUGACCCCAAAAUUUUGUCAUCUCUUGGAGGUUAUUUUGGGUUACACUGAUCUGAGUGAAAUUCUACAAUUCUGACACGUAUCCCCUGAUAAGGCUAUCACCUUUCUCUUGUUGUGUUGUCUCAGCCCAUAUCCGGACAGCCGCAUUGUCUUCCACUUUAUCAAAAAACCCCUUUUCCAUGAUAAGUUAUCUAUUUAGCAACCAAAUGCGAAUCAACACCUUUUGUGAUGAAAAUUCCAUGCAAAUACAAUCAAAGUAAAAUGAAGCAAGUUAGUAUUUCAUACAUAGUUCAAAACAAACAAAGAAUAAUAAAUAUAGCACUUGCUCAGGUAACCGCUAGGGUUUGGUGCAGCUCUACCUAAGGCGGGUUCCUACAGUUUGCUAUAUGCGGCUCGAUUCUAGAGUAAACGUACCUAAACUAGCAGAUUCCUUGAUCUUCACCCAUUAUAGGCUCAUACAGACCGAGUUUAGUUCAGGGGAAUACAUUUUCCUAUGGCUGCACGGAGAUGAAAAUCUCACGAAGACAUAGGUACGGAUGUAUCCUGAAAGUGAUCCACUGUCCUACAAGGAAGUGAAAACCUCACGAAGGAAUAGUUUCUCACUCCCACUUAAAAGGGUGACCAUACGGGCAUGCAAUGCAAUGUGCAUGAAUAUACAAAAAAGCUCAAAGCAAAUGAAGAAAACACGAAUAAAAUGAUGAAGAUCAUAACACAAAGCGGAUGAAAUGCAAUGAAAUGAUCGUAUAUCAAAAACAAAUUUUCAAUUUUCAAAAAAAAGAAAAAAGAAAAAUGUUAAUCAACUUGUGGGUUGACUCUUUUAUUUGGUUCCCCAGCGGAGUCGCCAAGCUGUCGAAACCUUUUUUUUUAAAACGGGAUUGACUUUUUAUUUUGAAAAUGAAAAUGAAGAGAAGAGUCGCCACCAAUCCUUUUUGAUGAGGUGUGAUCGGGUCACCUCGUAAAAGUAGUUAUUUUUAAUAAAUGAUUUGAUUUAUUUAAACAACGAUUUUGGUCCGUGAAUAUUCAAAAAAGGGGGUUCGGGAGUCGGUUACGUACGAGGAAGGAUUAGCACCCUCGUAACACCCAAAAAUUGGUACCUAGUUGAUUAAUUAGUGUCUUACUGUCGAAAAUUGAAAACUUGAGACACUUUAAAAUACGAUCCCUCUUUUUGGAAAAAAAAUCGAAUGUUAAAGACCUUCUCGUCUCGAAGUAAUAAAAUGUUACAUCCAGUAAGUUAGGACACGACAUCUAGAACUUUUGAGAAUGAGCUUGCCUUUAUUUAAAAUUCAUGUAUUUUAACAUUUUAAAAGGAUGUUCGGUUAUUUUGGGUAAACGAGAAAAGUCAAAACCUAGUAAGUUAGGGCACGUUUUCUAGAAUUUUCAAAUACCGAAUAUUGCCUUUAUUUGCAAAAAUUCUUAUCUCGAGGUAACAAGAUGUCAUAUCCAGUAAGUUAGGACACAACAUCCCGUAUCUCCGAGAGUAAGCAUUUUAUUCAAAACUCUUAUACAAUUCAAAAGAAUAUUCCAUUAUUUGGGUUAAAUGAGAAAAAUCGAAACCCAGUAAGUUAGGGCGCGAUUUUCUCGAAUUUCUAAAUAUGAAAUGUUGCCUUUAUAAGAUAAUUAAUUUUGGGUUGGGUAAAAUAUAAGUUCAUAAUGAAACGAGAUAAUACAGAAUGCAUAAACAAAUACAAAUUUCAGUAUUGACAGACAUGACAGAAUAAAUAAAUGCGAAUGUGAACGAUAGCGAUAAAAGCAAAAUUAAAAUGAAACGGAUGAGCUAAAAUAAGAGAGAAAUAAUAAAUAAGCUAAAUGUAUUUGAAAAUAAAGAAACUAGUGAUAAAUAAAGAUUAUGUGAAACUAUUUAAAAAGAUAAUAAUAGUGAUGAUGAUAAUAAUAUGAAAAAUAUAACAAUAUUGAAAUAAUAAUAUAGAUAUAAUGCUUAAAAUACAAUAAUAUAGAAAAUAUAAAUAGAUAGAAAUAUAAAUAGGUAAGUAACAAGAAAAUCUAUGUAGAUGAAAAUAUAGUAGUAAUAAUAAUACUAUAGUAAUAAUGAUAAUAAAAAAUUAGUAAUAAUAAUAAAAUAAAAAAAUAUAAUGGUGACAGUAAUUAAAAAAAUGUUAAUAGUGAUAAAAUAAGGUGGUAAUAAUAAUAUAUUAAUAAUAACUAAUAAAAGGAAUAAAAAUAAUAGUAACGAUAAGAAUAUUAAUAAUAACAAUAAUAUAAAUAAUAAUAUAUACAUGAAUAAUAAUAAUAAUAACAAUAUAAAGAAUAGGAAAUAAUAAUAUACUAAUAAGAAUAAUAAUAGGAGGAAAUAAUAGUAAUAUAUUAAUAAGGAUACAAAUAAUAAUGAUGAUAAUAAUAAUAAUAAUAAUGGUAAAAUGGCAAAAAUAACUAAAAGGACUAAAUUGAACUUAAAAUAGGAGUUCGGGGUGAAUUUGGAAUAAAAAUACAAAGUAAAGGACCAAUUUGGGUGCACGGAUAACAAGGGAGGACCAAAAUGGGCAAUAUCCCAUCCUCUCAAAACGCACAGCAGCAAGAGGGACCCAGUUGAACUCCAAGCACAAGUUCAGGGCGAGACUAAAAAAAGAAAAAGCUUAAUUGCAAAGUAAUAAAAAAGCGGAAGGGCUAAAAGUGCAAUUAACCCUUUCGUAAAAAAACACGCGGAUCUUUAACAUGGGCCGGUCGGAUUGGGUCGGCCUCCCCAAAACAACGUUGCUUUGGGGUCUGGGGAGGCCAAUGUAAACGACGUCGUUCCUUUGGUGUUAUAAAAGCAAAAUAUUUUAUAAAAAAAUUCAUUUUCCCUUGUUUCAGAAAAAAAAGGGGGGCUCUCUCAUUUCUCUUUGGCCGAAGCCAAAAUCCGGCGAGGAAACCGCCGUAGGGUCAUCGCCGAACACCGCCGCCAGCCUCCGUCACCAGCCUCCGAAAGGUACGUUUUUUAUAUUUUUUAUCUUUUUUUAUAUGUUUGAAAUAUUCGUUUAUAUGCGAGGAAAUAGAUUCAGAAAUAGGAAAGAAAUAAAAUAAAAUCACCUUAGGUUUUUGGGUUUGAUUUUCGGUAUUUUUCUCUGAUUUGAGACUAUCCCCCUGUUUUGGUGUUGUUAAAGUCACUAUUUCACUUGUAUUUUAGAAUCGAAUGCUUCGUAUUUGCAAAGAAAAAAUUGCCAAAUGUUACAAAUUGAUUUUGGCUUGGCUUUUUAAAGCCAUUUUACAUGAUUUUUUAUUAUUUUCUAUCUCUUGUUCAUUUAAUCUUACAGGUGCAAGUAGAGGCACUGACUAGGGCGGUGGAGUAGGUGGUCGACUAGCAUGGGGCGAUGGGACGUCGGCGGUGCUAGGGGUUGAUUAGGGUUUCAACUUUUCUGAAACCCUAAAUCUGGCUAGUUAGGUUAUGAAUUUGGGCCGGGUUUGGGUUAGCUUUGUUUAGGUUAAGGCUGUAAUGGGUCUUGAUUUUGGGUAAGUUUGUUUAGAUUGGGUUUUUUUGUUUGGGUUAAAAGUUGUAAAAUAGGCGUGGGCAAUUUGGGCCUUCUACACAUAUAAUGGUCUAUUUUUAAAAUGGUUCCUGUUGUAACAAGUAGAAUCGGAUCCGAAAAUGUUACAUCUUUUGUUAAGUUGCUGGAAAAUUGUGAGUAUUGUUUGGUUAAAAACUCAACCGUGUGUUGUAAGUAUGAUAAUUGAUAAAUGCCAAAAGUAACAUGUUUUAGCCUCAUUCUUAAUGUGUUUUUGGAUUAUUAUUCGAUUUAAAAUGGUGAAUUUUAUGCUCCUAAUCCUUUAAAUUCAUGUUUCUAUACUUAUGAGAGCAUUUGAGAGCAAAAGGAGCAAAAAAUGAGAGAAAAUCGGAGCAAGUUUCAGGAGCCAUACAGGCUAAACCAUUCCACAUAGUCUAGACACAUGGUCAUGUGCCAGAUUAUGUGGAUUUUGUGAAUUGCACUCCAAACAUGUAGGAAAACGUAAUUUUUAGGUUUUUCGGGCAUUUUAAGAUCUAUAUAUGACAAAGAUAAGAAGUUCAUAGAAUACUCAAGAAAAUAACUUGGAAAACACCAUUGAAGCAGACUCCGAAGCAUAUUUCUAUCAAGAUUGAAUAUCUCCUUUUGAUUUCUUUGAAGUUUAUUGUGAGUUUAUUUAUUUCUUGUGGUUAUACUAUCUUUGAUAUGUUUUUAUUUGCAAUUAUGAACUAAUUUUCUAAAUGCCUAGAGAGAUGAACCCCAUGAUGGAUUAUCUUAUUUGAUUUCUAUUUUUACGCAAUAAAUACUUUGACCUUGUUCUCAAUUAUGUGUGCUUAAUUCUUGGUUUAAUAUUUCUAGAUUAUUAAUCCAUGUUUGAUGUGCUUGACUUAGUGGAGGAAUAGACCCUGCUUAAGAGUAAAUCUAGCAUAAUUGAGUGGAGUUGCAUGCAAUCCUAGAAAUAGGACGACAUAGAUCUAGCAAAUUAGAGUAAAAUCCAAUAGAGGGAUCUAUAGAUCGAGUUUUUGCGACAAUAGGGGUUUUAGUUAGAAAAAAAUUUCAAUUAAUUAUCCUAGAGCCAGUUGCUCUUACUCUCAAAAGAGAUAUUAGCAUAAUUUAGGAAUUCUAAGGAUCAAGAUACUAAGUGAAGAAAUUGUUUAAUUUAGAUUGAUAAUGACAGAUGAAAUCUAGGUGGAUUCUUUCUUGGGUAUUGUUUCGCUUCUUGGUUGUUAAUCGUUUGCUUUCCUGAUUUGUUCUUUGUUGUGUUCGUAGUUAAUUUAAUUAGUUAAUUUUAGUUUUAAAUCAAUCACUCCAAUUUAUCGAUUAAAUAAUAGAAAGACAAUGAUUACUAGUAUUUUUAGUCCUCGUGGGAAUGAUAUCUUUUUUCACCGUAGCUAUACUAUUAAUUGAUAGGUGCAUUUGCCUUUGUCGAAUUUUUAGUUGGUUUACAACUGUAAUCAAUAAUACUAUGCUAUCAAUUUUUGAAACUGUAUUGUUGGGUAUGUGUAAUGUUGUUUCAGUGAUGUUUUGUACAUACUAUAAACGCAUGCCCCAUUAUUACUGCAUACAAGUUAAACUAUAACUAUUUUCAUGUUGAUAACAUGUUGAUACUAUCACUGUAUGCUAUAUUUUCGCUGAUCAUUAAUGGCAUGAUGUAGUUGUAUAGUGUUGGGUUAUUGAAGGAGGAAGUUCAGGCAUAUAAUGUCAGAUCAGUUUAUCGAUCAAUCUACUGGUGGUUCAUCCACAAAUAUUGUUUUGGUGUGUAAGGAUGGACGAGUUCCGAGGAGCUAUUACUAUGGUGCAUAGGGCUGGAUUGGGUAGUGGAUUGCACUGUCAUACAUGAACUUGUUAUUAGAUACUAAGAAUUUAUGAUCAGCGUGAUUUUGACUUGUAUUAUGUAUUGCUUGUUGUAUGCUAUUAUUUUUUUUUAUGAAUGCUACUCACAUGUUAAGACCACACUGAGCUUCAUAGCCCACCUCUUAGUUUUCCCUCUUUUUCAGAUGACUCGUGAGGUUAGAAGUCUGACUUAGAACUCAAACUUGGCUCUCAGAGCACUGUCAACGGUUUUGAAUAAACAUAUUUUAAAACUAUUUUACAAACACUGUUUGGUUUUUGUUUUGUUAAACGAAUGGUGGCAUAGACUCGGUUACUCACAAAAAUUUUGUAUUUUGCAUUAUUCAUUUUUGGACAUUAAACCUUAACUUGGCUAAGAACUUUAAGAUUGUCAAAUUACUUUAAAAUAUUUGCAAAUAAGAUUUUUAUAACAACAUUAGAUUUAAAAUUGAAUAAAAGAAUAACUAAAACAAAUCAAUGUUUUCAUAAACAAGAUUAAAUAGAUAUGGGUUUUUGAAACUGAACAAACUAAUGGGCCAUUUGACAUUAUGUUUGAGCAUGAAAUAAAAGCUUUUAAAAAACUGGCUUUUACCAACUCUGGCAAAAAGUAUCAAUACCCUGACAUUAGGUGUAACGCCCUAAAUAAUUUAUUUCUAUUUCUGUAAAUACCUGAUAAAAAUGUGUAUCUACUUUUGUGGUUAAGUGUUUUGGGUGUGUGUGAGAGGUCUUGGGUUCAAGCCUCCUUUUUGGAAAAUUUUGUUAUUUUAGAUCCAAGCCUUAUCCUUGUUGAGAGGGCUUAUAUAAAAUUGUCUGUUAAUUCAUAACAGAAUGAGCCUGCUGGUUCGAGUGGUAAGAAGUCAGUGUGUUGGAGGUCCUGUGUUUGAAUCAUUGCGUGAGUGUGGUUGAUAUUUUUUUUCGAUUGUGAGAUAGUGGUCGGGUGGAAGUGAAAUUCUGGUGGAGUUGAGAUUUAGUGGAUAGUGGGUGAUUAGGAUAGAUAUUAUUAGAUUAAUUUUUUUUCCAAAAUUUCAGUUUCUCUCUCCUCCAAAAUUUCUGACGUGAGUUUUCUUCCUCCAUUCUCCCAUUUCUUUUGUUUUUCCCUUUUUAAUCCGUUCGUAAUUUUGUUCGUUUCCUUGCGUUGUACUUCAUUUUUUGGUGCUCUUCGUGUGAUUUAGAUAAGAGGGGCUACUUUUGUUUGGAGUAGCAAUUUCGGUAAGCUGUGUUGAUAUUUUCUCUCCGUAGUAGCGCAGUCAAUGUUAUAGGGAAUUUGAUUUCUGUAAAUUUAUGGUGUAGGAGAAGGUUGUAAGCAGUGAAUUCUUACUCCGACAGCCUAAAUCACGCUAGUGUCCAUUCGUGCCACCGAUAAGUUAUGUGCGUUAUUUUGGGUUAUGUGUCGGUUCGUAAAUUGAUUGCUUAUUGGUCAAUGGGAUGCUAUUUCUUAGGUUUCGAAGGGCUAGGGAUUGAUGUAGCAUCUAAAAUGAAUCAGGUGUGUACCCCUAACGUGCCAUGUAUGAAUUUAGAUAUAUAUUUACUUUAUAAAGUUAAUUUACCAUAUCAUAUUAUAUAUACUCGUGCCAUGUAUGAAUUUAUUGUGAGUAAAAAUAAAAAUUAAAUAUAAUAUAAUUAAUAUAAACAUAUUAAUCAUAAAUGUUGCAGGUAAAUUUAAUUAUAAAAUUUUAAGAAAUGUAAUUUUUUUUCACGAGACUUUUUUUUGUUAACAACUAUAUUUUUUUAUCUCUUUUUUUAUAUAUUUAAUUUCUAUAUUUUUUCCUUUUUUUUAAGAUGAUUUUUAUAAAUUUUCAUUUACAUUUUGAAAAUGUCAUUUACGUUUAAAGAAAAACAAUCCAUUUAUAUGUAAAAUUCUUGCAAUCAAAGAAAAGGAACUGUCACGUCUCGAAAUAUCAAUUAAAUAUUCAGGUUAAAUUUAUAACUGUUGAAUUUAUUUUUAUUUUCUAUUAGAGCAUGCAAUUGGGCUUCUGAUUGGGCAAGAUCUGUCAGAAUGUCGAAAAUUGUAUCGAUACCUCUGGAUUUUCUAGUGUAGAAAACCUUAGUGUGUUGAAACCCUAGGUAUUUAAACACAUUUUCUCAUUGGUCAGCCCCUUCUUUUCAUUUUCUUUUGUUUUUAUUACUGCCCUUAACACUAGCAUUCUAUUUUCCUCUCUUUUCUUUCCUCCUUUCUUCUUUUCUUCCUCUCUUUUUCCUGGUCGUCAUACCCUACUUAUCAUCGCAUCCCCCACCACCUUUGAACCACUAAUUUCACUCUUCUUGUCGAAUAACCUUUUGUUUGUUCAAACCCCGUUAGUGUUUAGAACUAUCAAUAAUCAUUUUCCGUUCCCAAUUGUAGUAGGUUGGUAAGUGAAACUCCCUAUAUUAAUUGGACUCCAUUUUCGGUUACACAACCAAGUUGUGGUUAACCCUCUUUCGUUUUGUUCAGUUGGUUUUUACUAGAUCUUCUUGAAACCUUUAAUGUCGAUUCCUAAUGUGUGAUGCUUUGUUUGUAUGUCAAAUAAAGGAUUUGAUCUAGAUUAGAAUAGAUCGGAUCUGAACUAUAUAAGUACACCAGAGGAGUGAGGGUGUCGCACGAGCGUAUAGGUGAAGGUCUAUGUCUUGACUGCUUGGUCUGUUUAUGUGUCUUAACAGUGUAUAGCCGUAUGUGUAUGGGUUAGGCCAAAUAUAUAAGGGUCUAUUUGUGCAUAUUGGUUCUUGAUUUUAUUUAUAAGUGUUUGUACAAUAUCCUAAUGGUUUCGGUUGUAACAAGUAGCAUCAGAUCUGAAAAUGUUACAUCCUUUGUUAAGCCGUUGAAAAAUUGUGAGUACUGUUUGGUUGAAAAAUCAACCAUGUGUCGUAAGUAUGAAAAUUGAUAAAUGCCAAAAGUAGCAUGUUUAGCCUCAUUCUUAAUGCGUUUUUGGAUUAUUAUUCGAUUUAAAUUGGUGAAUUUUAUGCUCCUAAUCCUUUAAAUUCAUGUUUCUAUACUUAUGAGAGCAAAAAGAGCAAAAAAUGGAAGAAAAUUGGAGCAAGUUUCAAGAGCCACACAGGCUAAACAAUUCCACACGGCCUAGACACACGGUCAUAUGCUAGAUCAUGUGGAUUUCGUGAAUUGCAGUCCAAACAUGUAGGAAAAUGCAAUUUUUAGGUUUUUCGGGAAUUUUAAGAUCUAUAUAUGACAAAGAAGAAGAGGGGAGUAAGUCAUCAUAGAAUACUCUAGAAAAUAACUUGGAAAAUACUAUUGAAGCUAACUCUAGAGCAGAUUUCCAUCAAGAUUGAAGAUUUCCUUUUGAUUUCUUUGAAGUUUAUUUAUGAGUUUCUUUAUUUCUUGUGGUUAUACUGUCUUUGAUAUGUUUUAUUUGUGAUUAUGGACUAAUUUUCUAAAUACCUAGAGAGAUGAACCCUAUAAUGGAUUAUGUUAUUUGAUUUCUAUUUUUACGCAAUAAAUACUUGGAUCUUGUUCUCAAUUAUGUGUGCUUAAUUCUUGGUUUAAUAUUUCUAGAUUAUUAAUCCAUAUUUGAUGUGCUUGACUUAGUGGAGGAAUAUACCCUGUUUAAGAGUAUAUCUAGCAUAUUUGAGUAGAUUUGCAUGCAAUCUUAGAAAUAGGACAAUAUAGAUCUACCAAAUUAGAGUCAAAUCUAAUAGAGGGAUAUAUAGUUCGCGUUAAUGUGAGAAUAAUGGUUUUAGUUAAAAAGAAAUUUCAAUUAAUCAACCUAAAAGUCAGUUGAUCUUACUCUCAAAAGAGAUAUUAGCAUAAUUUAGGGAUUUCUACGGAUCAAGAUACUAAGUGAAGAAAUUAUUUAAUUUAGAUUGAUAAUGAUAUAUGAAAUCUAGGUGGAUUCUUUCCUGGGUAUUGUUUCGCUUCUUGGUUGUUAAUCGUUUGCUUUCCUGAUUUGUUCUUUGUUGUGUUCAUAGUUAAUUUAAUUAGUUAAUUUUAGUUUUAAAUCAAUCACUCCAAUUUAUUGAUUAAAUAAUAGAAAAAUAGUGAUUACUAGUAAUUUUAGUCAUCGUGGGUGUAAUAGCCCAAAAUUGGGUCUAGUUGGAACAGAGGUUUCGGGACCACAAAAUCUGAGAUAUAAAUAAUUAUUUUAUGAUUAUUUUGAGGUCUAUGAUAUGAUUGCAUGAUUGUGUGAAAAUUUCGUGAAGAAAUUCUAUGCAUAAAGUGCUUAAUUCGAAGUUAGGGACUAAAUUGAAUAAGUUGCAAAACUUGCAUUCUAGAAGUUUCUAGUAUGAAAUUGAUUUGAAAUAUUAAUUAGGAGGUCUUAAGUAGCAAUUUGACCAAUUUCUAAGUUAUGGAAAAAAAUUGGACAUGGAUGGAAUCUUUGGAAAGUUUAGUAGUAAGGGUAUUUUGGUCAUUUAGGGUUAAAAUGAAUUAAAAUACAAAAUUAAAAGCCAAUUUUGCUCAUCUUCUUCACCAUGGACGUGUAUACCAAGGGAGACUCCAUGGCUAGGGUUUUCAAGCUUCCCAAGCUCAAUUGUAAGUCCGUUCUAACCCCGUUUUUCAAGUUCUUUACGUUUUUUGGAGUCCCGGUAACUUGAUUUAGCUUAUGCUAGCAAUAAUUCAACCUAGGGUUCAUAUUUGGAAAAAUACCCAUAGGUAAAAUUUGUGUAUUCUGGUGUUUUAUGAUACAAUACGAGGUUUUAAAUUAUGUUAGACAACUUGUGCUACUCAGUUUUAAGUGAAAACGAGCAAAAUGGCUUAAUCGGUAAAAAUACCUAAUAGUCAUAAGUAUAUGUUAGAGUGAGAAUUUGAUGUUUCCAUAGAAGGGAAAAGUGAUCAUCAUGUCAUAAAACAUAUGUAUAAAGGAUGAAGUUUAAUUCCCGAGCCUAGGGGCAAAAGUGUAAAUAUGCAAAAGUUUAAGGGCAAAAUUGUAAUUUUUCUAAAGUUUGAGUUAAGGACUGUUUUGAAUAGUACAUUAAUUAAAUAAGUAAAAUAUGAUAUUUUAGAUCCCGGAAAAUGAGAUUUGAACCUAGAAUGACAGAAAAAUCGAAAAUUGGGAAAGUUGGUAAAAUGACCGUUUUAAUAUCAAGGUAAGUUCAUAUGUAUAAUAAGCAUUCAUUUAUGCAUGUUUCAAUGUAAAAUUGAUAUAUUUACUAUGAUCUCCGAGGUGUUGAAAGUAUGUAAGUUGGUAUGAUAAUAAUACAACAAUAAUGUUGUAAUUUAUAUUUGAAAGUUAAAUUUAGUGAAUUAAUUGAAUUAUGUUAAAUUAAAUGAUUAUGGUGCCAAGUUUAUGAAUUGAUUUAAAAAUAUGUCUAUGGUACAUGAAGUGCAUUGAAUUAUCAUACAUAAAUGUGAUUUCUAUGAUUAUGGAUAUUAUGGGAAAUUGUAAGUUCAUAUGAUUUUUAAUAAGACAAUGUGUAAUUUAAUGUUAUUGCGUUGAUAUUAAAUGAGAUGUAAGUUUAUAUGUAAGUAAUACAUCACUAUUACUUGUAUUAUGAUAUUUUAUAAAAAUAUUGGAAAUAUGUUUGUGGAUAAUUACUUGAAUGGUGAAAUUGUUGGAAAAGAGAGAGAAAUCCCGAUUGAACCUUCGGAAAGAUUGGAUGAUACAAAUGGUAUGUAGCUAGGUCACAUGUAUAGUGCUGAAUGCACAUCAUGUGUACAAGAGAGCUACAAGACAUUAUGAUGUAGCUAGGUCGCAUGGUUGAUACUAUGUGUACACCAUGUAGACAAGAGAGCUACGGGAUAUAUGUAGCUAGGUCGCAUGCGUGGUUCCAAGUGAAGGACACCAUGUAGACAAGAGAGCUACGAGAUAAACUGGCUAGGUCACAUGGGUGGUACUAAGUGUUCACCAUGUGUACAAGAGAGCCGAACUAUAUGAUGGGUGGAGCUAUGUGCUGAAACCACCAAGUAUCGAGGAUUGAUCCGAAGUGUUCAACGGGAGACUCUCUAUGUAUUGCUUUGUGAGUUUUGUGAUGAAUAAGUGCAGGAACUUGGUUAUGUGAAUGAUGUGUUCAUUAAGUGACCAGGAUGUGGUAAGGUUAUAAACAAGUAAGUUAUACAUGAGGAUGAUUUUAUGGUGACCUUGUGAUCAUGGUCCUAUACUUGUGAUGUAUGAAAUGUGGUGAAAAUGAUUUGUGAUAUGUAUGUUAAAAUGAGGUUAAUACAAAGAAAGAGUGAAAGAGUGAAUUAGCAAUAAAACUGUUUUGGACAGUAGCAAUGAUGUGAUUUUGAAAAAUCACCAAAAAUAGUAUAAAUUGAAUCAGAGACUUAAUGAGAUAUCAAAUUAAAUCUUAAUGAGUAUAUUUUCAUAUAAAAGAAACAUAGAAAGCAAAGGAGUUCUAUAUUUUGAGAUAUUUAUGUUUUCGUGAGACUGAUUCAGAAUGAUUAUGUGAUCCCCUGUUCUGACUUUGGAAAAUCACAAAAAUUUGGAGAAAAAUAAUUAGAGGCUAAAAAUUAUAUUUUUAAAAUCCAUAAUGAGUCUAUUUUCAAGAUAAAUCAACAAAAACAUUAUCCGAGUUUUGUACUGUGAGAUAAUUAUUUUUUAGUGAAGAGAGGUCAGAACUGUAAGAAAGUGAAAUAGGGGAAAUUUUAAUGAAUAAACUGUACUAAUUGGCUAAACCAAAAAUUAUGAAAAUUUUAUGGUGGAACGAUAUGUGAGUCUAGUUUCAUGGGAAAUUUACGGAUCUUAAUUUGGAGCUCUGUAGAUCGAAUUAUAAAUAAUUAAGUGACUAUGACUCGUGUGGAUAGUUUGAUGUGAACAUUUAUUAGUAAAUUGUGAAAUCGUACUUACAAGAAUGCUAUAUACAUUAAGGAUAUGGAAUGGAGAGGAGGAGGAGGAAAAUAAAUAUAUGUGGAAUACAUGGAAACUAUGGUAUAUGAAAUAUUGAUAUAAUGAAAUAAAUGAUAUGUGUUUAUAAGAAAAAAAAAAGAGAAUGUUAUGUAUCAUGACAUGUAUAUAUAUAUAUGACUAGUCUCAAUGUAAUGCUUGUUGGGUAUGGAAUUGAAUUGAAAUGUUUCAGGAAAACAUGUUAUUUUGUGCAUCUGAAUCGUGGUGUUUUAUAAAGAUAUGAUCUAGCUUUAAAUAUGAAUGCUUGAUGAUUAAGCUGAAGAUAUUUGGUAAGAUGAUAAUCUUGGUAUAAAUGUAUAAGUGGUACUAUAAUAAACAAGGUAAAAUGAGUAUGAGAGACACAUGUAUGAUGACAUACAAAUGCUAUGUUUGUGGUUUAAUUGAGGAUGUUUAAUCAUUAAAUGAAUACCAUGUUAUAUGCUUUUGAUUUUGUAUAAGUGUGUAAGAGAUCAAGGUUGACCAAAGCUUGGAAAAUAACCUAGGUAUAUUCCACACAGGCAGAGACACGACCAUGUGUCUCAGCCGUGUAUGGAACACGACUUUGGGACACGGGCGUGUGGAGCCUUAAAGCAUGAAAUUUCCAAGAUUUUCGUAAGUUCUCGGUUUAGUCCCAAACCCUUUCUAAAGUAUGUUUUGGGCUCCGUAGACUCAAAUAAGGGACUAUGUGUAAGAGAAUGAACGCUUUGAAAUAUGAAUAAAAUUUUAUGGCUCGUAUUUUAGUUUAAUGUUUGUAUGUUUGUCUGGUAACGCCUCGUACCUUAGCCCGGCCUCGGAUACGGGUAAGGGGUGUUACAGUGGGAAUGAUAUCUUUGCUCACCGUAGCUAUAAUAUUAAUUGAUAGGUGUACUUUCCUUUGUCGAAUUUUUAGUUGGUUUACAACUGCAAUCAAUAAUACUAUGCUAUCAAUUUUUGAAACUGUAUUGUUAGGUGUGUGUAAUGUUGUUUCAGUGAUGUUCUGCGCAUACUAUAGACGCAUGCCCCAUUGUUACUACAUACAAGUUAAACUAUCACUAUUUUUAUGUUGAUAACAUGUUGAUGCUGUCACUGUAUGCUAUAUUUUCAUUGAUCAUUAAUGGCAUGAUAUAGUUGCAUAGUGUUGGGUUAUUGAAGGAGGAAUUUCAGGCAUAUAAUGUCAGAUCAGUCCAUCGAUCAAUCUACUAGUGGUUCAUCUAUAAAUAUUGUUUUGGUGUGCAAGGAUCGAUGAGUUUUAAGGAGCUCUUACUAUAGUGUGUAGGGCUGGAUUGUGUAAUAAAAUGAACUGCCAUGCACGAACUUUUUAUUAGAUAUUGAGAAUCUGUGAUCAGCGUGAUUUUGACUUGUAUUAUGUACUGCUUUUUGUAUGCUAUUAUUUAUUUAUUUAUUAUGAAUGCUACUCACAUGUUAAAACCACACAAAGCUUCAUAGCUCACGCUCUAGUUUUCCUUCUUUUUUAGAUAACUCGUGAGGUUAGGACUUAGACUUGUUACUCGGAGCACUGUCAACAGUUUUGAAUAAACAUAUUUUAAAACUAUUUUACAAACAUUGUUUAGCUUUUGUUUUGUUAAAUGAAUGGUGUAAUAGCCCAAAUUUGACCAGGCCUUAAAACCAAAAACUUAAAAUAAAUAAAUAAAUGUUUAUUUAUUUAAACAGUCCAUAUAUAGAGGCCCAAAAUCAGAAUUACCUAACAGACCCAUUUACACCUUACCCCUAAUAAACCUAUUAGCCCUUAAAACCCCUAACCCGAUUACAAAACUUAAGUGGCCCAAUUGGCCCAAAAUUUUACACUGAGGCAGGAAACCCUAGGGUUUCUGCCUUUCCCUCCUAGCGCCGCAACAUCUUCUAGAAGAUUUGGGGAGCGUCUGUCCAGCUCCCGAAUCAAGGCCAUCAAUGCGCUGUCCAGAAGCCUGUCUCCCUCACGUCUGUCCAGCUCCUGAAUCAAGGCUGGAUUGACUCUGUUCCAACGACCUUUCGCUGUCGAGAUUGUUGCUCCUGCAGCAAUCCUGGCCUUGGAUUGUGCCACCACUGCCGCUCUAGCAUUCAUCACGCCAGCGAAUCACCGAGAUCCUCGCGGUUACCUGCAAAAAAGGAAAGAAAACACAAUAGAAAAGGAAAAUGGAUAGGAGAAAAAGAAAUCAAAGAUUUCUUUCUAAAUGUAAACAGUUCAUAGAGGGCUAUAAAAGCCUCUUCACAAAUCUGUACAAAGGACCGGAUUUUGAGAGAAAAAAUACACAUACACAUAUUUAUAAAGGAGAAAUUCAAGCAUUUUCUUUCAAAAAGGUGAUUCGAGUUUUUUAUUAUUCUGUUAUUUAUUCAACGAAUAUACAAAUCGAUCUUUAGCAAAGAAUUAAUAGUAUUAUGAAAAAGGAAGAGGUUACCUGCGAUUUUCUUGAAAGAAUGAGGGUUUUUAACCCUCCGACCACCGAGUGUGGUGGCGCGUGAGCGCGUGAGAAGACUGGGGACGGAGGUUCGACAGAACCUCAAGGCCGGACGCCCAGAUCCUCUUUCAGAGGAUUUCUUUCCUUUUUUUUUUUAAAAAAAAAUCUAACGAAAAUGAUUUUAAAAGCUAAAAUCAGGGUUUAUAUAACCCUACAAAAACGGUGUCGUUUUGCUUAAUUCAAUAAGCACUAAAAUGGCACCGUAUCAUGCAGAGGAUCCGCGUGUUGACCCGAUUACCCGAGGAGGAUCAGCAUGUUUCCGUAAAGUGGGUUAAUUGCUCAAUUGGUCCUCUCGCAAUUUUAAUCUUUAUAAUUUCAUUUUAUUAUUAUUUUAAUUCGGCCCUAAUCUCUUAUAUUUACUUCAAUUUAGUCCUAAUGGCCAUUAAAAUUUAUUCUGAGGAACGACGUCGUUUUCUGGGAUUAGGGCAAAUUGUCCAGUGAGUCCUCUGAAUUUAACGCGCAUUUCAAAUCAGGCCCAGGAUUUUUAUUAUUUUGCAAAUUAGACUUAGAUUUUCUAAUUAAAUUUAAUUUUAAUCCUUUUUAUAUUUUAAUUUACUUCAAAUACUUUAUAUAUUUUUUUAAAUAUUAGUUAUAUAUUACUAUUAUUAUCCAUUUUUUUUAUUAUCAUAUAUUUUAUCUAUAAAUUAUAUUAUAUUAUAUAUUUUUCUUUAUAUAUUUUUUAAAAUUGUAUUAUUAUUUACUAAAUUUAUAAACGGCAAAUAAAUUUUAAAAGACAAUAUUAAUAAAUAAUAGUAUAUAUUAUCCUUAGUUAUAAUAGAAUUCAUGUUCCAUUUAUAUAUUACACCUUUUCUUUAUUUAUAUAUUUUAUAUAUGUAUAUUAUUUAUUUUAUAAUAUUCUUAUGAAAAUUACUCAUAUCCUAUUUAUUGUUUUAUAUUUUACCUAUAAUAUGGGCAAUACAUUAUAUAUAUUUUUAAAUUCUAUUAUAUGUUAUACUUUUAUAUACUAUGUUUCUAUAUGUAAAAUAUUUGUUACUUUAUUAUUAUUAUUAUACGUAUACCAUAUUAUAUUUUAUUAUAAUUAUUUAUGAAUUUUUAUUACAUACUAUAUUUUUAUUAUUCAAUAUUCCUUAUAAUAUCUAUCUUUCUUAUAUAUUUUUUAUUAUAUAUUAUUUAUUUUGUUAUACUAAUUAUUUUACCAUAUUUUUAUAUGCAAAAUACUUAUUAUAUUCUUAUCAUUUUAUAUUAUAUUUCCUUAUAUUUUAUUCAUAUUAUAUUAUUAUAUAUAACUUAUUUUAAACAUUUUUAAUUUAUAUUUUAGGUAUUUUUUAUCAAUAAUUACUCACUUUAUUUUAUAUUUUAAUAUAUAUAUAUAUUAUAUUAUGUCAAUAUAUUAGAUGUUGGUCUCAUAAUUUUAUUAAAUGUUGAGUGCUUGACUUAUUAUUAUUUUUAUUGUAUUUUUUUUUAUAUAUGUGUCAAAUUGUAUAUCAUGCAUCAUUUUUAUUAUCACUAUGUUUAAAUAUAUGAUGAAUUACAUGUUUAUGUGUUUUUACCUAUUCUUCUUAAAUAUAUAUCGUGUUUUAUGCAUAUUUUACUUAUUUAAAAUUUGUCAUGUUUCUUAUAUGUAUAUGUUAGUUCUUGUGCUUUUAUUUACCUAUUACUAUAACAUGUUAUCCCGUAUGUUAUGUUAAUAUGCUCCUUCAUGCAUCGAUCUAAAAAACGAGACUUUAAAGUUUUCAAAAAUAAAGGCAAUACUUAGUGUUUGGAAAUUUCGAAAAAAGUAGUGCCCUAACUUAUUGGGUUGCAACUUUUCUCGUUGAGUUCGAAUAGUGAAGCACCCUUUUAAGUUUUUAAGGUUUUUUAAGUGCAAGCAACUCUCUUGGAAUUUCAAGGCGUUGUGUCCUAACUUACUGGAUAUGGCGUUUCGUUGUUUCAAGAUAGGGACUUCCAACAAGGCUAACUUAGUGUCACAUAUCUUAAAAAUAUUAUGUCCUAACUUAUUGGAUGUAAUAUUUUGAUUUAUUUGAUACAAGUGAACCCUAAUUUUCAAAAUCAAAAAUAUAAAAAGAGGAUUGCAUCUCAAAAUUUUUAAAUUUCCGACAUUAAAGACACUUGAUAAUCAAUUAGGUACCAAUUUUUGGGCGUUACGAGGGUGCUAACCCUUCCUCAUACGUAACCGACUCCCAAAUCCGUUUUCUCGACUUUCGUAGACCAAAACUAAUGUUUUAAAACAAAACAUUUUAUAAGGUGAUCCAAUCACACCUAAAACGAUUGGUGGCGACUCCCAUUUUUGUUUUUCUUAAAGUCGAUUCCCGUUUUCAAAACUCGAUUUUAAAAAUGGUUUCGACAGCUUGGCAAUUCCGCUGGGGAUUAAUAAGAGAGUCAAGCCGUGUAAUUGAUUAUCUCUUGUCUUAAUGUCAGAAAUUAAAAAUUUUAAAAUUUAAUCCUCUUUGCAUUACAUAUGUUUGUAUUAUUGCAUGUGUUGAUAUACUCUGAUGCGCAUUGCAUUUGCAUGACCGCUGUGGUCACACCCUUAAGUUGGAGUGAGAAACUAUGCCUUCGUGAGGUUUUCGGCUCCGUGUAGGAUAGUGGAUCACUUUCGGGAUACAUCUGUACCUAUGGUUUCGUGAGAUUUUCAUCUCCGUGUAGCCAUAGGGAAAUGUAUUCCCCUGAACUAAACUCGUUUCAAAUGAGCCUAUAAUGGGUAAGACUCGAGGAAUCUGCUGGUUUGGAUACCUCAAACUUUAGAGCCAACCUCAUAUAGAAAAAUCGUAAGAGCCCAACUUAGUUAGAGUUAAACUUUAGAUAUUACCCUUAUAAAUUAUCGUUGAGAUUUAUUGAUAUCAUGUGAUACUGACUAUUUCUUUUCUUUUGUUUGCAUGUCAUUUUGCAUUUACGAAGGUAUCGAUUCACAAUCAGUUUCUAAGUUAGGAAGUUUUAUUAUGGCGAACGGACUUCUUGAUAGAGUGGAGGGCAACGCCAAUGUUUAUAGAUGGUCAGAGCAAACGCAACUAGAAAAGGGAGACAGUAUAACUAUGGGAUAUGUGUCUGAGCUGUCAGAUUAUACUCGUAUUAGUGUCACACAGAAUAAUCUCUAAGAGCUUAAGGAAAUUUGGGAUCAGUGGGGCAAUGAAACCAAGCAGUUAUUCUACGAUAAUUACGGAGAUUUACCUUACUUGCUCGAUAUUCAGGUAAAUGAGCACUUGUUCAGAGCCCUUGGUCAGUUUUGGAACCCGGCAUACAGUUGUUUCACUUUUGGGGAAGUAGACUUGGUACCUACCAUGGAGGAGUACACUGCUUUACUUCGUUGUCCCAGGUUUCAGAGUGAUAGGAUCUAUUCUCGAGCUGUUUGUGUCCCUACCUUUUGGAAGAAAUUAAUGACCAUUACGGGGAUGAGCGAGCAGUGGAUCACGGCCAGAAUUAAAGAAAAGGGUGAGUGCAAGUGCAUUUCAUGGGAAGCUUUGAAAGAUCUGAUUUUGACACACCCCAAUGAGAUGAAGAAGGUAGACAUUUUUACCUUAAGUUUGUAUGGACUAAUGGUUUUCCCUAGGGCUUUGGGAUAUGUGGAUGAGGCAACCACAGAUCUUUUUCAUCGACUCGGUAAAAGGGUCACUUCCGUCCCUGUGAUUUUGACGGAGAAAUUCAGGUCCUUAGGUGCAUGUAGGAGGGCUGGUGCAGGCAAGUUUAUAGGGUGUGCUCAGUUACUUUUAGCUUGGUUCUACAGUCACUUUCGAUUGAUUGAUGGGAUUGUUUGUCGGGUAUUCUUUGAGAACUAUUCCCCGUUGAAAGAUAUAGUAGCAUCAUCUAAGAAAGUGGAUGUACCGGAAGAGAAUUGGAUAGCAUUACUUCGGAAUCUUCAGUCGAAGGAUGUUGAGUGGAGAGCUCCAUAGAUGGUUCCUGGUGAGAUACUUUAUCGAUGCGGCAGCUUUGAUUGGGUUCCCCUGUUGGGAAUUUGGGGUGCCAUUGGUUAUACCCCUUUGCUCGUACUAAGGCAGCAUGGAUUGAGACAGUUCAUACCAGCGACUCAUGGGUUGGCUUAAAGUGAGUUUGUAUACAGAGGAGCCGAUUACAAGAGGAAGGUUAGCGAGGUUUCUAGUGCUUGGAACAAGAAUUGUCGGUUGAAGGGAGUGGCCAUUAAUCCUACUACGACACCGGAAUAUGUCAAGUGGUCGGGUAGAAGGAUUAACGAUAAUAUCCCUAUGGCAAAAAUAGAGGAAGUUCGACCAAUGGAGGAAUAUCUACAAGUGAUACCCUCGGAGCUUGAUAUCAUGAAGCAAAAAUUUAAGAGAAAGAAUUUGGAACUCGAAAAGAAGAUAGAAAAGCUUGAGGAGGAGAAGAUGUACCUGAGUCUAGAUGUUGACCUGCAAAAGAAGGAGGUUGAAAAAUUUAGGAAAGAAAAAAGGAAGGUUGAGGAAGAACAAGAUGAUUUAAAAGAGGAGUAUAAGAAGGCACAAGUAUCUUUAAAGCGAGUGGGGUUAGGAAGGUCUUCGGAACAGUGGCAGAAAGAAGUUCAAGUGGAAAAAGCUAGAGCCGAGUAUUGGGAGAGGAAAUUCCAAGAGAUGCGGUCGCAUAAUUUGGCAUUAGAGGAAGAGAAUAAAGGGUUGAAGACCAAGGUAACUAAGCUUGGAAGAUCCCUUCGUUGGCAUCGAAACCAUGAUCCUACGGUCGAGUUAAAGGAGCUAAAAAGUAAGGUUGAAUAUUUGGAAGUGGCAUUACAUGAUAGUGAACUUCGGAUUGAGCAGCUCGAGGCGCAAGAAGAUUGUAUAAAAAGAGAGCUCCAUCAAGUUAAAAGUCAAGUCAGAGACAAGGAUUACAUUAUUGGGGAGGCUAUAGCCCAGAUCCAAGAGAUUGCUGAAUAUGUUCAAGACUUAGCAGUACGAGCUGAUGCGUUGAGUAUGAUGUAUGAGUCAGUGUCUGAUAAAGGUCGAGAGUUAGCCCUUUUAUUGGAUAAAGUUAAAACUUUGGGCAAUAGGGCAAAGGCGUAUGUGUAAUCCAUUUGUAUGUAAAGAUAUUCUUUUUCUAAAUAAAGUUUUCUAAAUGAGAUUGAAUCGAGAUGGAUGCUUUUUGCAUUCAUGCAUCUGCAUUACAUCACAUCAUAUGUAUUCAAAGUUAUAGAAAGACCCUAAUUAGUUAAAGUUUACUUCCGAAGGUAGAUAAGAAAAUCUGGAAAUCACACAUCCUUACGACACUCGCACUAAAACUAAGAGUAUGGAUCAAAGGUUCGAACAAUUGCAAAAGGAUAUGCAAGACCAACUGCAAGAGCAGUUGGCCAAAAUGCAAAAUGACAUAAGGGAGCAUUGCCAGGAAAAGGACUAGGAAGCCAGUUGCAAGGAGGGGUUCAAAUCCCAAAACUGAUUGAGAACAAAGAUCGCUUUGGUUUGAGCUUCAAGCCAGACCAUAAACACCUGAGGCAAGAGAUUGAGAAGCGCCAAGCGAGAAGAAAGGCGCGUUUGAUCGGAGGAGAAGUGAAGUGGGAACCGAUGACAUUCUCAUCUAUAUCCAAAUCCUUUAAGUCAGGAGGGUUACUAGUAGAAGAAAGUCAUCAGAUUAAUGCUGUACACAAUGAGGGAUUGGAGCAAGGAAGCCUCGAGGGCAUUCGCCCUUAUGAACUGGGGCUCUCUGAACAAUUGGACUGCGGAGGACCUUCUUGUAGUCUUUAGGAAUUUUUCAAAGUAAUUCUCGAAACAUGCUUGUUACUCUAGGGCCUAGGAGUAGUAAGAUUGCGUUUGUGAAAAAGGCUUAUAAUCAUCUAUUAUUAUUUUAAUAAAACAUAACUUUAUUAUCAAUUUGGACGAAUAUGGUUUCUUUUUUAUCAAUCAAUAUUUCGUUAAACUUUUGCAAUUCUCAUUCUUUCAUUCAUAGCACAUAAACAAUCAUUCUUUGAUUCAUUCAUUCUGUGUAUAUUCUUUCAUACCCCCACAGGUCCCUAGAUAUCAAUGAUAUGAGUACUGAUACCGCAACUCCUGAUUUCUCUUGCGAGCAAGACAUGUGUAUAGAGGAAUCUCAAGAUUUUGAAGAUGUUCAAGAUUGUGAUGUGUCUCCUGAUCUGUUAAGAAUGGUAAAACAGGAGGAAAAUGAAUUAUGCCGCAUGAGAAAGAGGCAAUAGAAAAUGUAGGCUUAGAGGAAGGGAAGGAGUUGAAAAUUGGAACACUGAUUACCGAGGACACAAGGCAUGGUCCGGUUGAGUUGCUUUGAGAGUUCAAGGAUAUCUUCGCAUGGUCAUAUCAAGAUAUGCCCGGAUUGAGUACCGACAUUGUAGCACAUCGUCUUCCGAUAAAACAGGAUUGCAAACCAGUCCAACAGAAGUUGCAGAGAAUGCGACCAAACAUUGUUCUAAAAAUAAAAGAUGAGGUUAAGAAGCAGUUCAAUGCAGGAUUCUUACAACAGGUCAAGUACUUCGAAUGGGUAGCUAAUAUUGUGCCGGUCCCUAAGAAGGAUGGGAAGGUACGAAUGUGUGUUGAUUACAGAGAUCUGAAUAAAGCUAGCCCAAAAGACAACUUUCCUUUGCCGCACAUCGACACUUUGGUAGACAACACGGCGAGACAUUCGUUGUUUUCCUUUAUGGAUGGUUUCUCGGGGUACAAUCAGAUAAAGAUGCAUCUAGAGGACAUGGAUAAAACCACCUUCAUAACCUUGUGGGGCACUUUUUGCUACAAAGUAAUACUGUUUGGACUGAAGAACGCAGGGGCAACCUAUCAGCGGGCCAUGGUGAACUUGUUUCACGACAUAAUGCAUAGGGACAUUGAAGUAUAUGUUGAUGACAUGAUGGCUAAGUCCCAAAUAGAGAAAGAGCAUAUUGAAGUUUAGAGAAGACUAUUCUUGAGGUUGAGGAAGUUUCAGUUGAGGCUCAAUCCGGCAAAGUACACCUUCAGAGCUAGUCGGGAAAGCUAUUAGGUUUCGUAGUCAGUGAAAAGGGAAUAGAAGUUGAUUCAGAAAAAGUCAGAGAAAUACGAGAAUUGCCUCCACCACAAACUCAAAAAGAAGUUCGAGGAUUCCUAGGAAGGUUAAAUUACAUCACUCGGUUCAUUUCACAACUAACUGAGAAAUGUGAUCCUAUCUUUUGCCUCCUCAGAAAGCACAAUCAAGGUACUUGGGAUGAGGAGUGCCAGAAUGCUUUUGAAAAGGUCAAGCAGUAUUUGUUGAAUGCUCCGGCAUUAUCUCCACCUAGCCCAGAUAAACUGUUGAUACUGUACUUGUCAGUGUUCAAUAAUUCUAUGGGAUGUGUGCUUGGUCAGUAUGACGAGUCAGGGAAAAAUGAGAAGGCAAUUUAUUAUCUCAAUAAGAAAUUCACUAACUGUGAAAUGAGAUAUCCACCAAUUGAAAAGUUGUGUUGUGUGCUGAUUUGGACAACUCAGAGAUUAAGACAAUACAUGCUAUACCAUACCACUUGGCUCAUCUCAAAGCUUGAUCCAUUGAAAUACAUGAUGGAGUCAACAGCUCUAAAUAGGAGAAUGGCGAGAUGGAAAAUUUUGCUUUCAGAGUUUGAUAUAGUCUUUAUAAGUCAAAAGGCUAUAAAAGGAAGUGCGUAGCAGACUUCUUGGCUAGUAGGGCUCUAGAGGAUUAUGAGCUAUUGAACUUUGAUUUUCCAAAUGAGGAGUUAAUGUGUAUAGCAAUGAUCGAAGAUUCUCCUUGGAAGCUAAAUUUUGAUGGGGCUUCUAAUACAGUCGAAAAUGGAAUUGGGGCAGUCUUGGUAUCCCCGAAUGGCGAUCAUUACCCGUUUACGUGCAAGUUGGACUUUAACUGCACGAACAAUAUGGCUGAGUAUGAAGCAUGCAUCAUGGGACUUCAAGCAGCUAUAAAGCGAGGUAUAAAAACCCUAGAAGUAUAUGAAGAUUCUGCGUUGGUAAUUUAUCAGCUUAGAGGUGAAUGGGAGACAAGGGACCCUAAAUUGAUCAAUUAUCGAAAGGUAGUUUUGGGGUUACUUGAGGAGUUCAAUGACAUCACCUUCAAUUAUCUCCCACGAGACGAAAAUCAGAUGGCAGAUGCUUUAGCAACCUUGGCCUCAAUGAUUAAGGUGAAUAAAGAGGAAAAGAUGAGACCAAUUCAAAUGAGUGUCUACGAGGCUCCAGCUCAUUGUUGUAACAUUGAGAAGGAAGAAAAGGAUGAUAACCCUUGGUAUCAGGAUAUAUUACGAUAUGUGAAAGAUCGUAAAUACCCUGAACAGGCCAAUGAAAAUGACAAACAAACUUUGAGAAGGUUAGCUUGCGACUAUGUCUUGGACGGGGAUAUCCUGUAAAAGAGAAGGAAAGACCAAGUACUUUUGAGAUGCGUCGAUGCUGUGGAAGCUAAGCUAAUUUUAGAAGAAGUUCAUGAAGGUGUAUGUGGGAUGCAUGCAAAUGGAUUCACGAUGGCAAGGCAAAUCAUGAGGUUUGGCUAUUAUUGGGCCACUAUGGAAGGGGACUGUAUCAACUAUACCAAGAAAUGCCAUAAGUGUCAGAUUUAUGGGAACAAAAUUCAUAUACCACCUUCACCUUUGCAUGUUAUGACUUCUCCAUGGCCCUUCUCCAUGUAGGGCAUGGAUGUCAUUGGACCAAUAUCACCGAAAGCUUCGAAUGGACAUCGGUUUAUCUUCGUGGUAAUUGACUACUUUAUAAAAUGGGUAGAGGCCGCUUCUUAUGCGAAUGUUACUAAGUCAGCUGUGAGUCGAUUCUUGAAGAAGGAGAUCAUUUGUCGGUAUAGAAUGCCUGAGAAGAUCAUAUCCGACAAUGCAUUGAACUUAAACAACAAAAAGAUAGCAGAGGUUUGCGACCAGUUCAAGAUCAAGCAUCACAAUUCUUCUCCCUAUCGUCCAAAAAUGAAUGGGGCAGUGGAGGCCACCAAUAAGAACAUUAAGAAAAUAGUGGGGAAGAUGACUGAGACUUAUAGAGAUUGGCAUUAGAAGUUAAUGUUUGCACUCCUGGCCUAUCGAACAUCUGUCAGAACCUCUACUAGGGCAACCCCAUUCUCGUUAGUUUAUGGGAUGGAAGCAGUGUUACCUAUUGAAGUAGAAAUACCUUCUCUUCAAAUUUUGACGGAGAUAAGGUUAGAUGAAGCUGAAUGGGUUCAAUCCCGAUAUGACCAAUUGAACUUGAUUGAGGAAAAGAGGCUAAGAGCCAUUCGACAUGGUCAGAUGUAUCAGAAGCGAAUGAUGCGAGCUUAUGAUAAGAAAGUUCGACCAAGAGAAUUCCACGAGGGAGACCUUGUACUGAAAAAGAUCCUUCCUAUUCAAAAAGACUUUAGGGGGAAAUGGAUGCCGAAUUGGGAGGGGCCGUAUGUCAUGAAGAAAGCUUUCUCUGGCGGUGCAUUGAUCUUAACGGAAAUGGAUGGGAAAAGUUUACCCAACCCAGUGAACUCAGACUCAGUUAAAAAAUACUUUGUCUAAAGGAGAAGAGAAUCCAAUGUGAAAACCAAUAAAUGGUGCAUUGAGGUUUCAAAAAUCAAAAAAAAAGAAGAAAGAAAGAAGAGGAAAAAAGAGAAAAAUGGAGAGGCCAUGGUGAAAACCCGCAAAGGGCGCCUUGUGACCAAAGGGGUUUUGAGUUGAAAACCCGAAAGGGCGACUCAAAUUUUGAACUUGUUCAACAAAGAACGAAGAACGUUGCAUACUGGGGCAUCGACAGAGUUCUUUGAAUCUUCUAAACAUAUGCCUUAAUGAAGUUGAUGUAUAAGCGCUCAAGCGACGAUAUCUAGGGCAUCUAGUUUUUGGCCUGUUUGCUAUCUUUAGAUUUUUUUUCCUUCUCAAAGAUAGGCUUUCAGAUUAAUUUCCUUUGUAUUUUUUUGAUAAUUCAUUCAAAUCCAAUUAUUCUUAGAGAUUUAUUUAUCUUCCAUUAUUCUUUAAGUAUGUUGCAUUGAAAUAAUGAUAGAUGAACUAAAUAUGUUCACAAACGAAGUUUUGCGCAUUACUCUGGAAUUUCUAGAUAAUACAAGAAACUAAAACAGGACAAUUGUUCGAGAAAUUCACAUAAGUAAGGGAUGAAGGAACUCGAGGAAUUUCUUUCUUCCAGUCCAAAAGGAAAAUGGACAAAACCAACGAUUCAAUUCUAAAGAAAGAUUAUCUUACAGACAUCCUCAGUGGAUCGUAGAAUUUGAGGAAGUGUACAGGCCUAAAGGCUGUGCAAGAAUAAUACUUUGAGAAAAGAAAAGACAAAUGAAGGAAUGAGUGGUGACGUCUGGGAUAGAGGUCAUGUUCACAACAUUUUUCAUCAUAACAUGUUUAAUUAGGAACAUUUGACUCACUUCGAUCAUAGCAUCCUAAUCAUUAGGCAUAAUCAUUCUACAGGUUAUCAAAGACGACGCGCCUUAAUCCUCUAAGCAGUAGGGUAAUAGGCCACAGCAUAGCAGAUCUGGCUGAAGCAAGAUCCAAGAUGGUUUGGCAUCCUUGUACUUACAAGGAACAAAUCGAAGACAUAGCUGAUUUGGCUUUCACGUGCUUACGAUGAAGCAAAUCUAAGAUGAUUUGACAUCUCUGUAUUUUCAGAGAACAAAUUGAAGUUUGGCGUCUCCAUAUUCGAUGGAGAGCAGACACAUAGCAGAUCUAGCCUUCAGAUGUUUAUACUGAAGCAGAUCCAAGAUGAUUUGGCAUCCUUGUGCUUACAAGGGACAAAUCGAAGACAUAGCUGAUUUGGCUUUCACGUGCUUACGAUGAAGCAAAUCUAAGAUGAUUUGGCAUCUCUGUAUUGUCAGAGAACAAUCGAAGUUUGGCGUCUCCAUAUUCGACGGAGAGCAGACACAUAGCAGAUCUGGCCUUCAGAUGUUUAUACUGAAUCAGAUCCAAGAUGGUUUGGCAUCCUUGUACUUACAAGGAACAAAUCGAAGACAUAGCUGAUUUGGCUUUCACGUGCUUACGAUGAAGCAAAUCUAAGAUGAUUUGACAUCUCUGUAUUGUCAGAGAACAAAUUGAAGUUUGGCGUCUCCAUAUUCGAUGGAGAGCAGACACAUAGCAGAUCUAGCCUUCAGAUGUUUAUACUGAAGCAGAUCCAAGAUGAUUUGGCAUCCUUGUGCUUACAAGGGACAAAUCGAAGACAUAGCUGAUUUGGCUUUCACGUGCUUACGAUGAAGCAAAUCUAAGAUGAUUUGGCAUCUCUGUAUUGUCAGAGAACAAUCGAAGUUUGGCGUCUCCAUAUUCGACGGAGAGCAGACACAUAGCAGAUCUGGCCUUCAGAUGUUUAUACUGAAUCAGAUCCAAAAUGAUUUGGCAUCCUUGUGUUUACAAGGAACAAAUCGAAAUCAUAGCUGAUUUAGCUUUCACGUGCUUACGCUGAAGCAAGUCUAAGAUGAUUUGGCAUUUCUGUAUUGUCAGAGAACAAAUCGAAGUUUGGCGUCUCCAUAUUCGAUGGAGAGCAGACACAUAGCAGAUCUGGCCUUCAGAUGUUUAUACUGAAGCAGAUCCAAGAUGAUUUGGCAUCCUUGUGCUUACAAGGAACAAAUCGAAGACAUAGCUGAUUUGGUUUUUGCGUGCUUAUGCUGAAGCAAACCUAAGAUGAUUGGCAUCUCUGUAUUGUCAGAGGACAAAUCGAAGAAGCAGAUUUGGCGCCUCUGUGUUCGAUGGAGAGCAGAUCGAAGAUAUCAACAUGACAGUCAUAAGUUUACAAGAAGUAGAUUUAAAGCCAUGAUUUGAUAAGACCGGUCGAAUUUGGUCUUUCUAAAUCUUUGCUCGAUUCCCGUCACACAGCAAUGAGUAAAGACGGGCAGCUGUAAUAGCCCAAAUUUAACCGGGCCUUAAAACCAAAAACUUAAAAUAAAUAAAUAAAUGUUUAUUUAUUUAAACAGUCUAUAUACAGAGGCCCAAAAUCAGAACUACCCAACAGACCCAUUUACACCUUACCCCUAAUAAACCUAUUAGCCCCUAAAACUCCUAACCCGAUUACAAAACUUAAGUGGCCCAAUUGGCCCAAAAUUUUACACUGAGGCAGGAAACCCUAGGGUUUCUGCCUUUCCCUCCUAGCGCCGCAACAUCUUCUAGAAGAUUUGGGGAGCGUUUUUCCAGCUCCCGAAUCAAGGCCAUCAAUGCGUUGUCCAGAAGCCUGUCUCCCUCACGUCUGUCCAGCUCCUGAAUCAAGGCUGGAUCGACUCUGUUCCAGCGACCUUUCGCUGCCGAGAUUGUUGCUCCUGUAGCAAUCCUGGCCUUGGAUUGUGCCACCACUGGCGCUCUAGCAUUCAUCACGCCAGCGAAUCACCGAGAUCCUCGCGGUUACCUACAAAAAAGGAAAGAAAACACAACAGAAAAGGAAAAUAGAUAGGAGAAAAAGAAAUCAAAGAUUUCUUUCUAAAUGUAAACAGUUCAUAGAGGGCUAUAAAAGCCUCUUCACAAAUCUGUACAAAGGACCGGAUUUUGAGAGAAAAAAUACACUUACACAUAUUUAUAAAGGAGAAGUUCAAGCAUUUUCUUUCAAAAAGGUGAUUCGAGUUUUUUAUUAUUCUGCUAUUUAUUCAACGAAUAUACAAAUCGAUCUUUAGUAAAGAAUUAAUAGUAUUAUGAAAAAGGAAGAGGUUACCUGCGAUUUUCUUGAAAGAAUGAGGGUUUUUAACCCUCCGACCACCGAGUGUGGUGGUGCGUGAGCGCGUGAGAAGACUGGGGACGGAGGUUCGGCAGAACCUCAAGGCCGGACGCCCAGAUCCUCUUUCAGAGGAUUUCUUUCCUUUUUUAAAAAAAAACCCUGACUAAAAUGAUUUUAAAAGCUAAAAUCAGGGUUUAUAUAACCCUACCAAAAUGGUGUCGUUUUGCUUAAUUCAAUAAGCACUAAAACGGCACCGUAUCAUGCAGAGGAUCCGCGUGUUGACCCGAUUACUCGGGGAGGAUCUGCGUGUUUCCGUAGAGUGGGUUAAUUGCUCAAUUGGUCCUCUCGUAAUUUUAAUCUUUAUAAUUUCAUUUUAUUAUUAUUUCAAUUCGGCCCUAAUCUCUUAUAUUUACUUCAAUUUAGUCCUAAUGGCCAUUAAAAUUUAUUCUGAGGAACAACGUCGAUUUCUGGAAUUAGGGCAAAUUGCCCAGUGAGUCUUCUAAAUUUAACGCGCAUUUCAAAUCUGGCCCAGGAUUUUUAUUAUUUUGCAAAUUAGCCUUAGAUUUUCUAAUUAAAUUUAAUUUUUAAUCCUUUUUAUAUUUUAAUUUACUUCAAAUACUUUAUAUAUAUUUUUUAAAUAUUAGUUAUAUAUUACUAUUAUUAUCCAUUAUUUUUUAUUAUCAUAUAUUUUAUCUAUAAAUUAUAUUAUAUUAUAUAUUUUAUUUUAUAUAUUUAUUUAUAUAUUUUUUAAAAUUGUAUUAUUAUUUACUAAAUUUAUAAAUGGUAAAUAAAUUUAAAAAAAAAUAUUAAUAAAUAAUAGUAUAUAUUAUCCUUAGUUAUAAUAGAAUUUAUGUUCCAUUUAUAUAUUACACCUUUUCUUUAUUUAUAUAUUUUAUAUAUGUAUAUUAUUUAUUUUAUAAUAUUCUUAUGAAAAUUACUCAUAUCCUAUUUAUUGUUUUAUAUUUUACCUAUAAUAUGGGCAAUAUAUUAUAUAUAUUUUUAAAUUCUAUUAUAUGUUAUAUUUUUAUAUACUAUGUUUCUGUAUGUAAAAUAUUUGUUACUUUAUUAUUAUUAUUAUACGUAUACCAUAUUAUAUUUUAUUAUAAUUAUUUAUGAAUUUUUAUUACAUACUAUAUUUUUAUUAUUCAAUAUUCCUUAUAAUAUCUAUCUUCUUAUAUAUUUUUUAUUAUAUAUUAUUUAUUUUGUUAUACUAAUUAUUUUACCAUAUUUUUAUAUGCAAAAUACUUAUUAUAUUCUUAUCAUUUUAUAUUAUAUUUCCUUAUAUUUUAUUCAUAUUAUAUUAUUAUAUAUAACUUAUUUUAAACAUUUUUAAUUUAUAUUUUAGGUAUUUUUUAUCAAUAAUUACUCACUUUAUUUUAUAUUUUAAUAUAUAUACAUUAUAUUAUGUCAAUAUAUUAGAUGUUGGUCUCAUAAUUUUAUUAAAUGUUGAGUGCUUGACUUAUUAUUUUUUUUAUUGUAUUUUUUUUAUAUAUGUGUCAAAUUGUAUAUCAUGCAUCAUUUUUAUUAUCAAUAUGUUUAAAUAUAUGAUGAAUUACAUGUUUAUAUGUUUUUACCUAUUCUUCUUAAAUAUAUAUCGUGUUUUAUGCAUAUUUUACUUAUUUAAAAUUUGUCAUGUUUCUUAUAUGUAUAUGUUAGUUAUUGUGCUUUUAUUUACCUAUUACUAUAACAUGUUAUCCCGUAUGUUAUAUUAAUAUGCUCCUUCAUGCAUCGAUCUAAAAAACGAGACUUUAAAGUUUUCAAAAAUAAAGGCAAUACUUGGUGUUUGGAAAUUUCGAGAAAAGUAGUGCCCUAACUUAUUGGGUUGCAACUUUUCUCGUUGAGUUCGAAUAGUCAAGCACCCUUCUAAGUUUUUAAGGUUUUCUAAGUGCAAGCAACUGUCUCGGAAUUUCAAGGCGUUGUGUCCUAACUUACUAGAUAUGACGUUUCGUUGUUUCGAGAUAGGGACUUCCAACAAGGCUAACUUAGUGUCAGAUAUCUUAAAAAUAUUAUGUCCUAAGUUAUUGGAUGUAAUAUUUUGAUUUAUUUGAUACAAUUGAACCCUAAUUUUCAAAAUCAAAAAUAUAAAAAGAGGAUUGCAUCUCAAAAUUUUUAAAUUUCCGACAUUAUAGACACUUGAUAAUCAAUUAGGUACCAAUUUUUUAGCGUUACGAGGGUGCUAACCCUUCCUCAUACGUAACCGACUCCCGAAUCCGUUUUCUCGACUUUCGUAAACCAAAAUUAAUGUUUUAAAACAAAACAUUUUAUAAGGUGAUCCAAUCACACCUAAAAAGAUUGGUGGCGACUCCCGUUUUCGUUUUUCUUAAAGUCGAUUCCCGUUUUCAAAACUCGAUUUUAAAAAUGGUUUCGACAAAUGGUGGAUGGACUCAGUUACUCAUAAGAAUUUUGAGAUUUUGCACUAUUCAUUUUUGGACAUUAAACCUGAACUUGGCUAAGAACUUCAAGAUUGUCAAAUUAUUUUAAAAUAUUUGCAAAUGAGAUUUUUAUAACAACAUUAGAUUUAAAAUUGAAUAAAAGAAUAACUAAAACAAACCGAUGUUUUCAUAAACAGGAUUAAAUAGAUAUUGGUUUUUGAAACAGAACAAACUAAUGAGCCAUUUGACGUUAUGUUUGAUCAUGAAAUAAAAGAUUUUAAAAAAGUGACUUUUACCAACUCUGGCAAAAAGUAUCGAUACUUGAUCAAAUAAACGGUUUCCAAAAUAAACAAAAAGCCAAAUUCGUAUCGAUACUGAUUGAUAAUAUUUUAUAAAUUUCACAAUUGGAAAAAUGCCUAAAUUGUAUUGAUACUUAAAUAAGUAUUAAUACUUUUCUAAUUGGUAUCGAUACCCUUUACAAAACUCAAAUUCUUUUAUGAAGGGGUUUCUGACUUUUUUCAAAAAUUGAAUGUUUCACUGGGUCAUUUCAGUGGCUAGUGUGACCUCUAUAAUUCUGUCAUAACGCCUAGGUUGGGUUGGGGAGGUUAUACAAGCACAAAGUUCAAGUACAUUGGAAAUAAAAAAAAAACCAAAGAAUUACAUAUCAAGAAAGCAACAUGAACAUGUUAGCGAAAACUAGAUCAUAUCGAAAAAAAAUGCUUAGAAUUGAACACGAAAUUGAUGAAGGUCUAAUCAUAAAUACUUUGUCACUCUACUUAUGAUUAAAUUAUCGAAUAAAUCUUUUUAAUUAUAUUUUAAGGUAAACUAUACAAUUAGUCACUUCAUUUUCGUAAAUUUUCAUUUUGGUUAUUAAAAGUGAAAAUUUUCAAAUAUAGCCUUGUUAUUAGAUAGUUUUAUUUGUUUUAGUCACUCAUCGUUAGUUUGUUUUCAUGUUUUAGUUACUCGUCAUUAAUUUGGCCAACAACAAUGUUAUUGUACACUCAUUUUAGUCACCCAACUUUAAUAAGUUUUCCUUUUGGUCUCCCAUUUUAUCUUUUUAAUUUAUUUUACUAUUUUUCCUUUUUCUAAGAAUUAAUUUUAGUUUGUUUACUAGUAAAAAGGGAAAAUCUAGGGUUUUAUAAGGAAUUAUAGAGUUUUUAUAGGGAAAACCUAGGUGUAGAGUGUGCCUCACAUUUCAAAUGAAAUAGAGUUGACGUCAUGACGAGGAAGAGCCGUCGUCUCGAUGACACAACUAGGAUGUCCCAACAAGAAGUAACGCCACAUCCUGAUGAUGCAAUGAUGGAUGCCCCAAUGAGUGAAUGAGACGUUAGGACGUGGCGACAUGUUUCCCACUCAACCGAAUUUCUUCUUUUUGUUAAACUCGGUUAUAUUUUCCCAAUCUAACUCUGAUUAUUCAAUGGAUGUUUUAAUAAUAUUUGUACACAAAAUUCAGCAUAUAAAUAAGCCACUUAGCAACCCUAGAUAGUUUAGAAUAACAACAACAAAAUUAAGGGAGAGUUUGUGAGAAUUUUGGGGAAUAUUUGUAUUUCGGGUUCAAGGUUAUUUGUUUCUCCAUCUUGUACUUACCUUUUCAAUUUUUGUGGUUUUAGUAAAGUUUUUUUCCCGUGGUUUUUAUCCUCUUCAAAGGGGUUUUUCACAUAAAUAUUUAUGUCUAAUUUUCUCCAUUUUCAUUUGUGUUCGUUGCAUAUUCCGGCUUCGACCCAACAAACUGGUAUCAAAAUUUGGUUUAUUUUUCACAUUCAACUCGUUCAGAUAUUGCAAUGAGGUACGAUAUCAAGAAAUUCAAUGGGAUUACAAAUAUAAGCUUGUGACAAGUUCGGAUGAUAACAAUUCUAGUUCAGAGCAGUCUGAAAAAGGUCAUUGUAGGGAAAAAGCCCAUGAAUUGCAAAUCUGACAGAGUGCGAGGAACUUGAUGAGAAGGCACUAUUAACUAUUCAGUUGUGGCUCACUAAUAAUGUAUUGCAGGAGGUACUUUUAAAGAAGAAGAUGAAAACCCUAUGGAGGAAAUUGGAAGCCCUUUACAUGACAAAGUCUCUCACAAAUAUCUUAGUGUUAAAACAUUGAUUAUACACAUUUCAAAUGAUAGAAGGUGAGUCUAUUAAAGCUCACAUAAGUGAAUUUGUCACUCUCCUUAAUGACCUAAAGAAUGUUGAACCCAACAUAGAAGACGAAUAUCAGACUAUGCUAUUACUUUGUUCCUUGCCCUUUUCAUACAAAAUUUUUAGAGAAACUCUGAUUUAUAGUAAGGAGAUACUCUCAUUUAAAUAUGCGAAAGAAAAUCUUUUGAGUAAAGAUAAACUCGACAAUGAGUUAGGCUCAAAGAACAAGUUAGAUAGGCAAGUCUCGAUUUUGGUUGUUAGAUAAAGGCAACAAUCUGAGGAUUUGGGUCAAAGAAGAUCAAGAGCAAGAUCUAAGUCAAGGAACCAUGACAAGGAAUGUGACUAUUGUAAAAAAAAAAGUCACAUAAAAAAUGAAUGUUGUAACAGCCCAUUUUCAAUGAAAUUAGAAUAGUGGUUCCAGGACUAAAAAUUCAAAGAGAAAAUUAUUAUUUUUAUUAUUUUAAUGUCUACGAAAUGUUAGUAGGGUCGUAUUAAAAUCUCAUUAAGAAAUUUUAACGUUUGCAUGUUUAAUUAAGUGAAAAAGACUAAAUCGUAAAAGGUGCAAAAGUAGAGUUCUAUAAGUUAAAGGUAUCAAUUAGCUAUGAAAUUUUAAAAUAAGGGGUUUUAUAUGGUAAUUAGACCAUUAUUAUUAUUAGCGGACAAGAUGGGCAUGAAAUUGAUGUUUUAAUUAGUUUGAAUUAAAGGUUAGUAAAGUAAUUUAAUAAAUAAAUAAAGUAAAAUAAAGAAACAAAAGGUAUCAUCUUUGAAAAACAUUUUUCCCCACUGAAAAUAAGGAAGAAACCUCCAUUGUUGCAUCUUGAAUAUUCGGCUAGCAUUGUCCAUUGCAUGUAUGUGUUAUUUUGUCUCAUUUUUAAUGGAAGGAUAGCCUUUGUAGCGAACCUCUAAAAGGAUAGCAUUUGUGGGGAACCUCUGAAAAGGAAGCCCUCUUGGUAAAAUUUGAAAGAAAGAAAUGGCGAACUCUGAAAGAAGGAAAUGGUAAACACUGAAAAAAGAGCACUCGUCGUGGACUUAAAGACGAGUAAACUAGGAAUAGUUCAUGUUACCCUUAAAUGGAAACAAGGAAGUCAGUAAGUGUUAACCAAUUUCAUACAGGUCUCGUGUUAAGGCAUAAGGUUCAUACGCGAAUAGGGUCUUAAAGGUACUAAAGAAAAGGAAAUAGUUCAGAGAAAGGAAUGGUAACUGAUACGUGUAAAGGAACAAGAAAUGGAAUAAUUAAACACUCGAAAACCAAGUGAAUGACAAGAUAGUUAAAUGAAUCCCAUGGAUUCAAUGUGCUAAUAAAAUUCAGGUAAAUGUUAAGUUCUCGUGAAUUUAUCACUUUGUUUUAUGUCAUAGGUAAGCCUAUUUGAGACUAUGUUAGGGCUACACUGAAGUAGUGGCGAGUUGGUCUACUAUGCAUACAGAGCAAGUAUGGUUGGCAUGAUCAAGCCCGAUAUACAUAAGGCAAAUAGGCUAUAAGAUUUGUUUAUGGGCCUUAUAUAUGAAAUCUCUUGUACAUUAACCGUAAAUAGCACUUGUGUAUGUAAUGAAAUUUUGGCGGGAAAAACAUGAUAGUAACUACCCACAAUAUAAUUAUUUGUAUUGAAAUAUAUUGUAAGAAGUUGAGACAGGUGAAAAUUUGUAUGAGAAAUUUUUAGCUUAAGUCUGUAAUUGUUUUCUAACACUCAAGAUCCAGAUGUACGAAUCGGAUCGGGUUGAGGGUGUUACAUGGCCUGAAGUAGUUUUCUUGGUAGUGGUAUAAGAAGUUCGAUUCCUUCAUGUUAGAUAUUGGUUUCGUUCAAAAUAGAAAUGAUAGUUGUGUUCAUUUACAACAUUUAGAUGAUGGAUCAUUUAUUUAUUUGCUGGUUUUAGUUAAUGAUAUGUUAAUUGCAGUUAAGGAUCCAUCUAAAACUGAACGACUUAAAACCAUAUUUAACUAAAAGUUUAAAAUGAAGGAUGUUGGUGCAGCUAAAAAAAUUUUGAAAGAUGAAAAUUUCGAGAGAUCGACAAUGUAGAAACUUAUUUCUAUCACAACAAAAAUACAUCGAAAGGAUUCUUGAGCAAUUUCGAAUGCAAGAUUCUAAACCAGUUAGUACUCCUUUAGCUGCCUACUUCAGACUUUCAAAUUUAGAUUCACCACAAACCGAAGAUGAAGAAAGGUACAUGUCCUCGAUUCCCUUUUCUAGUGCAGUCGAAAGCCUAAUGUAUGCUAUGAUUUGUACUCAUUCCAAUAUUUCACAUGUUGUUAGUGUAAUAAGUAAAUAUAUGGUCAUACUUAGUAAAUUAUAGUUGCAAGCUGUGAAGUGGAUUCUAAGAUAAGUAAGAGAGACUUGUAGUAUUUGUUUGGAAAUCAGAAGACGUUCAGAAGGUCUAGUCGGGAUUUAGAUUAUGCCGGAUACCUAGACAAAAGAAGAUAUCUCACAGGUUAUAUAUUCACCUUCUAAAAUAACACUAUUAGUUGGAAAGCCACCCUUCACAAAGGCUGAAUAUAUGACUAUCAUAGAGGCUUUAAAAGAGGCCAUGUAACACCCCUCACCCGUAUUCAACGCUAGAAUAGGGUUACGGAGCAUUACCGAACUUAUUAAACAAUUAAACAAACAUUUCUCAUACAUUUUUAAAUUCCAAGAAAACAUCAAUCGAAGUCAUUCACAUUGUCCCUAAUACGAGCCUACGAGGCCCAAAACAUGCAUUCAGGGUGGUUCGGGACUAAACCGAUAACUCAGGAAAUUUUCAAAAAACUUAGCAAAUUUUACAAAAUACAAGGGACACACGCCCGUGUGGCCAACCGUGUGUCUCACACGGCCAAAGACAUGCCUGUGUCACAAGCCAUGUGGACAUUCAAAAUAGAAUCACAUGGCAGUGUCCCAGCCCGUGUCCGACCCCAUGUAACUCUCUGACUUAGGUCACACGGCCAACACACAAGCCCGUAUGGCUAGCUCGUGUACCCUAAGAAAUGGCCACAACGCUUAUGUGCCAGGUCGUGUGCUAGGCCAUGCCAAACCUGUAGGGUAUACUAACUUAUGCUACACGGCCAAGUCACACGCCCGUGUGCUAGGCCGUGUGGAGCAUACUGACUUGAUUUUUAAUUCAACACCAGGGGACACACGGCCAUGUAACAUGACUAUGUGCCACACACGGUUGAGACACACGCCCAUGUCUCUGCCCGUGUAGACAAAAACAGGCUAUUUACCAAGCCAUUUUGCCUCCAAAAAUUUGUAUACACCUAUACCAAACCAAUUGACACCAAAACAAGGCAUAAUUAGGCAUUCAAUCAACCUCAACCAAACAUUUUUCAUACCAUUUCCAACACCUACAUUUACAAUGCAUACAAUCUCAAAAUGUGCUAUCCAAUUUCAUACCAAAUUUCACUUUCUCAAAUCAUCAAUAUGGUCAUUUUCUAAACAUGUAUUAUUUUGCCUAUAUUCACUAGCAUACCAACAUUUAAAACUCAACCAUUUGACAUCCACAAUACCUAUAUUCAACAGGCAUCACAUAUCUAUCAUCAAACUCACAACACAAGCCAUAUGCAUAAAUAGGUACAUAAUCAAACCAACCAAAUUAAGCCAACUCUCAUGGCUAUAUACAAAACCAAACUUUUAAUAAUUACAAGCCAUUUCAAGUGACUAAAUUCAUUAACAAAACAUGUGCCAAAUUGACCAAAGUCCCUAUACAUGCCAUAUACUCAAAAUACUUAAGUUCAAAAGUACCAAAGUGAAAGUUGGAUAGUGUGAUAAAGUUUUUGAUGAUUUUCGAACCCGAGCUAGCUUUGAUUUUACUAUAAAACACGGAAAAAUAAAUAAUGUAAGCUAUAAAACUUAGUAAGCUCGUAUGAAAUAAACUUAAUUAAUCAUAAAUAGAUAAAUCACACAAUUUAAUAUAUCAACAAAUACAUCACAUUAGCUAACAAACCUUCCACAUGUUCAAGGAUAAGAUUAGAUGUGAAAUUCACAACUUUCUUCGAUUCAAAGCAUCCAUGUCUUUAAUAUACCCAUUGAACCAUUUGGAAUACUAUUGGAUACAUGAGAAUCUCGCACCCUAAGUGCCACAUACAUAGCUGAAGCUAUCUCAAUCUCAUAUCACAUAUAAUGCUCACUCUCGAGCUAUCAACGGGUCUGUUCACACAAGCUGACGGUCAUGAUGAAGCUACAUAGUGCUGCUCACACAAGCUGACGAGUAUCCACAAUACAUGUCGGAUAACUCAGCCACCUGUAGGACGUACGAAUCAGCACCCAAAUCACAUAACCCUUAAUGACCUGCCAUUCAUAUCCUAAUCUAUUCCUAAGGUUCAACCAGGAUUUCACACUUGCAGAAUCAUCGUCGAACAUGUCCGUAAUGUCGUAAACACUAUUUAUGCAAUAUCAAAGCAUUUAAAACACAAAUAUAACAAUGUUUAUUACAUACGAACUUACCUCGAAUGCAAAAAUGGCUAAACAAGUCGAUUAGUUCGAAACCUUGUUCUUUCCCCAAUCUGAAUUCGUAUUUCACUUUUCUUGAUCUAAAUGUAACCGAAAUUAACUUAUUUAAUUAUCACUCUAUUCAAUUUAGUCCAAAAUACACAUUUAAGCAACUUUACAUUUAGCCCCUUAUAUUUCACAUUUUUUACAAUUUAGUCAUUAUCUCAUAAAAAUACAAAUUCAUGCAAUUCAACCAAGACCCAUGCUAUCCAAAUUUCAAUUAAGUCCCUAGAAGCCCAUAAUUUUCAUUUAUUUCACAAUUUAACAACAUAAUUUCAACAUUUCUCAAUUAAAUCCCUAAUUGGACAUUUCACUAAAAAUCACUUUACAAAUGUUGUUUAUCUAACAACAAGCAUGCAUUUUCUAUCAUCAAACACCAAAACAUACAUACAUUCAUCAAUGAAAAAACCCUAAACCUUUAACAGUUUUGCAAAAUAGUCCCUGGGCUAGCUAGAUUAAGCUGCAAUGAUUUCAAAAACAUAGAAAUCAUGAAAAACAUGACAAAAACCACUUACCAAUUAAGCAUCCAAGUGACCGAACCCUAGCAAGCUUUCAUGGACAUUUCUUUCUUCUAUUUUCGGUGGUGUUUCAUAUUAAGGAAGAUGACACCUUUAUUUUCCUUUUUGUUUUAUUAUACUUAAUAACUUAAUUACUAAUUUAACCUUACUUAUUAAACAUUAAAAUCACCUAAUGCAUGUCCAUAAAUGUCCACUCAUAUUAACAAUGGUAUAUUUACCACAUAAGGACCUCUUCUAUUUAAUUUCAUAGUCAUUUAAUACCUUUAGCUAUUAGAACAUCACUUUUGCACUUUACGUGAUUUAGUCUUUUUUAUCAAAUUAAGCACUCAAACGAUAAAAUUUCUUAAUGAAUUUUUCACAAAAUCAUACUAUCAUGCUAUAGACAUUAAAAUAAUAAUAAAAUAAAUAUUUUUACCUUGGAUUUGUGUCCCGAAACUACUGUUUUGAUUUGACUAAAAAGGGUUGUUACAAGCCAUUUGGUUAAUAGGUCUAUUCAAGGAGCUGGUUGAUAAAAACGAAAAAAUUUUCUUAUAUUGCGAUAGUCACAGUUCCAUACAUCUCAUGAAAGAUCAAAUGCAUCACGAAAUAACAAAGCAUAUAGAUAUUCGACACCUCUUUUUUCGAGAGGUGAUCGCUCAAGGAGAUGUUCAUAUUUACAAAAUUGCCACAGAGAACAAUCUAGUAGACUUGAUGACAAAGAGUCUUCCAAUUUCCAAGUUCAAACAUUGUUUGGACUUGGUAAGCAUUCGACAUAGGUCGAGUUAGGCCCCUAGCGGGGCUCGACAAAUAAGAUUUCGAAAAUACAAAUCAAUGUGGAGAUUUUUAGAGUGUGCCUAGUAUUUCAAACAAAACAGAGUUGACGCCGUGAUAAGGAGGAGUCGUCAUCCCGAUGAUAGGAUGAUGGACAUCUUGACAAGCCGAACGCAACGUCAAGACGUGGCGACGUGUUCCUUAUCCAACCGAGUUUCCUCUUUUAGUUAAACUCUGUUAUAUUUUCCCAGUCUUUAAUUAUUCAAUGGAUGUUUUAGUAAUAUUUGUACACAAAAUUCAGCCUAUAAAUAGACCUCUUAGCAACCCUAUUAAAAGAGAGUUUGUGAGAAUUUUGGGGAAUCUUUUUAUUUUGGGUUCAGGGUUUAUUGUUUCUCCAUCUUGUACUCCGCUUUUCGAUUUUUGUCGUUUUAGUGAAAAAAAAUUUCCUAUGAUUUUUUAUCCUCUUCGGAGUGGUUUUUCCAUGUAAAUAUUUGUGUCCAAUUUUCUUGCUUUUUCUUCGUGUUCGUUACAUAAUUUGGGUUCGACCCAACACUAGGUUUUAAUAGAAAAAAGUAUUUUAUCUUUUUAAUUUCCUUUAUUUUCUCCUUUUAGAAUUAAUUUUUAUCUUUUUUCCAAUAAAAAGGGAAUUUUUAAAUUUUUACAAUGAAUUACCUAGGUUUUUAUUGUAAUUACCUAGGGUUUUUAUAGGGAAUUACUUGGGUUUUUAUAGGGAAUUGAGUUACUUAGAAAACUUGGAUUUCUUAUUAUUAUAUGAAUAACUCUUACCUAAAAAAACCUAGUAUUUCCCCUAUUUUUGAAAAAAUAAUAAAAUUAAUUAAAAAAAUGAGUGACCAAAAUGAAAAUAUACUAAAGUUAGGUGAUUAAAAUGAGUAUACAAUAACAUUGUCGUUAGCAAAAUUAAUGAUGAAUGAAUAAAAUGAAAAAAAGCUAUCAAACAACAAUGCUAUAUUUGAAAAUUUUUCAUUUUCAAUGAACAAACCAAAAAACUUUAAAAAAAUUUAUUUACUAAUUGAGUAGUUUAUACAUAUUUUUAAUCUUAAUUUUCUUGGACAGAUAUUGUGGAUUUGAUUCAUUUAAAUAAAUCCAAAUAUCGUUCAAUUAUUAAGGCAAAAUGGGUUUUGAUUGGAAAAGCAAAAGGCAAAACAUGAAACAUAUGGUACAUAAAAUACAUUAAAGUAAAAGAAAAAGUGGUAAAGUGGGAAGGCAAUUAUAGAGGAAGAUGCUGUAAAUGUCUUCACUUAUGGUCUUUGGUCUUUCUUUAUUACUAAUAUUCAGUUAAAGAUGAUAUUUUAUCCUAAAAAAGAAUAAUAGUACGUAAGAUAGACUUAUUAAUCGUUUAAAGCAAAUUAUUUCUUUUGACUUCAUAACUGAUGAGAUUCAUGACAUGAUUUUGACAGGUUAAAAUAGUAAGAUGUUUAUUUUAUUAAGAAUAACUUAAAAAUAAUCAAACUCUAUUAAAAAUUAAUUUAAAGUUACAUAUAUUACAUAUAUGAAAAUAGAUGAUAACACAUUAUAAUUAGAAGAUAUAUAUGAAGUUAAAUAAGAUAAAUAAAUAUUUAUAUUUAUAUUAUUAAAAUGUUCAUAUUUUAUACUAUUAAAUAUUUAUAAAUUGUACAAUAAAAUUUUAAGAAUAUCAUUUGAAUUUAAAAUUAAUAUUAUUAUUAAAAUUAAAUUGUAUAUUACAUAAUUUUAUUAAAAUAAUAAAUAAGAUUAUUUAUAUUAUUACUCUAAUUAAAUAUAAAUAUAUUUUUUUAAUAAUAUUGAAAAUUAUAAAAUUUGAUAUCGAUAUUUUAAUUUUUAAAAAUUAAAAUUAAAAAUUAUUAUGAAUAUAUUAAUAUUGAAAAUACCUUGCGUUUUUAAAAGGAGAUAUCAAUUUAAGUAUAAAGAGCUUAUUCUCUGUUAAACAAUAAAUCAUUUUUUGGUGAUGAAAUUAAUUUUCACAAAACAAACAUUAAAUCACUUUCUACUAAACAAAUUUAAUAAUUAUAAAAAAAAAAAAUGGGAGAGGAAAUCUGAAUUAACUUGGAGCAUUGUGGAUACAAGAAAAUGAAAAUUUGGAAGCCUAACAAUACAACUUGGGCUACUUAAUAUCAAAGCCAUAUGGCAACAGUGUGCAGCUCUUCAAUCGUAACAAUGGCUUGGGCUUAUCUCCAUAUCCUAAUCCAAAUUAUGGGAGGGGUUUACUUUUCAUCACAUAAUCUUCCAUUCUUAUGGUCAAACAACAUAAAUUAAUAUAUAUUUUUAACUAAGUUACAUGAAAGGAGAGAUGGGUGGUUUGGAUAACUUUGGGAAGGUAGGGAUUACUUUUAUCAGGGUAGAUGAUGUGAUGUGUUGACAGUGAUGAGCUACCAAUUACAUUUACCAUGUAAAUCACUUUUGGAAGAAAUUAUGGACUAAAAAAAUUGAAAACAAAAAUAUGGUAGGUGAUCUAUUUUCAGUAAUAAUAAUACAAUUUCCUCUUUGCCUCUAAGAUAUCCACAUAUAUAUAUAUAUAUAUUUCUCUACUACAUCCCAUAUGUUAGUCUACAAAAUUGAUAAGAAUGUCAAUGAAAAUUAUUUAAGUAUCAAUAUCAACUUUUUAAAAUAAAAAGAAUAUUUGUUAGGUUGGCUGGUAAAGAGAUCGAUUUUCUUUAUAUAAGAUUUGAGCUAAAUUGUUAGAACUUUCAUUGUCCCAUUGAUGACACUUGUUCAGAUAACCAAACAAUCCAACAGUGGCUGAGAUGAAAAAUCACAAGGACCGAAAGCAGCAAAGAUUAAAAGCCAAACCUAGCUUGUUUGCAACAAUCUCAUCUUCUAUUUUUUAUAGAAUAAUGACCUUGAAAACUACCAAAGAGAUCUGAGAUUUCUUAAAGUAAGAGUAUGAAGGAGACGAAAGGGUCAGAGGUAUGAAAGCGUUGAAUUUUUGCAGAGAAUUCAAGUUGGAAAGGAUGAAAGAAACAGAAACGAUCAAAGAAUAUUUUGAUAAACUUCUUGGCAUUGUCAACAACGUAAGACUCCUUCGCACUGAUUUCUCUGAUUCUAAGAUUGUUCAAAAACUCCUCAUCACAAUUCUUGAAAGGUUUGAGACCACAAUUUUCUCUUUAGAAAACAUGAAAGACCCAUCAACCAUCAUCUUGGCAGAAUUGUUGAAUGUUUUGCAGGCGUAGGAACAAAGGAGAUGUAUGAGACAAUGAGGAACAGUAGAGGGUGCUCUUCAAGCUAAAUCAUAGAGUUACAAUGGUGGAAAAAGCAAGAAAAAUAUGCAAAGUAAAAACAAGCAAACUGGAGGUUCCACAAAUGACAGAAAAAAGGCAACAAAACUCAAGUUUUUUCUUGUUAUUCUUACUGUAAAAAGAACAAUCAACCACAAAAAAGGUGUUAGUAGAAGCUAGACGUGAAAUGCAGUAAGUGUGGACAGUUAGGACAUGUGGAGAAAAUAUGCAGGUCUCCACAACAACAAAGAGAAGUUAAUGCUGCUCAAAAUCAAUAGUAUGGCGAGCAAAUGUUUGUGGAAUCCUGCUUCACCACUAGCAGCUUAACCGAAAGUUGGCUUAUACAUAAUGGUUGUAAAAACCAUAUGUCUUAUGAUCGUGAACUCUUCAAAGAACUUCAUCAGACUGCUGUCUCUAGAGCCAGAAUUGGAAAUGAGGAAUAUAUCAUUGUGGAAGGCAAAAUAACAAUGGUGAUUAAAGGUCACACUAGUUUAAAAUUUAUUUUUGAUGUCUUAUAGGUGCUUGAAAUUAAUCAAAACUUUUUGAGUGUUGCUCAACUACUGGAAAAAAGGAUACAAUGUGUUGUUUGAAAACAAAAAUUACAUAAUCAAAAGAUGCAGAAAACAGAGAUGUGUUCAAAGUCCAUAUGAAAGACAAAAGCUUUGCCUUAAAUUUGAUGUAAGAAGAGCAAGUUGCUGUACACAAAAAGAUAGCAAUACUUUAGUUUGGCACAAAAGGUUAGGGCAUUUUCACCAUACCUCUAUACUUUUUAUGAAGAAAAAAAUAUUGUAAAAGGCUUGCCUCAUUUGGAGAAGGAGCAACAUGCAUAUGAAAUUUGUCGAUAUGGGAAACAAACAAGGCUCAUUUUUCCAUAAAAUAAAGCUUAGAGGGCUGUUCAGAAAUUACAGUUAUACAUACUGACGUAGGAGGGCCAGUCAAAACACUGUCAUUGAAUGGUAAUAAGUACUACAUUGCUUUCAUUGAUGAUCACACAAGAUUUUGUUGGAUUUAUUUCAUGAAGUUGAAAUCUGAAGUUGAUGACAUUUUUUGGAAGUUUAAAGCUUUCGUGGAAACUCAAAGUGGUUGCAAGAUGUAGGUGAUCAGAUCUAAUAACGAAGCUGAAUAUACUUCCAAAAUAAAAAUUAAUAAUUUUAUCAAAAUGCAGGCAUCGAGCAUCAAUUGACUACACCUACACUACACAACAAAAUGGUGUGGUGGAGAGAAAAAAAUAGAACGAUUAUGGAGAUGGCAAGGUGCUUACUUUAUGACAAAGAGUUGCUGAAGAGAUUGGUUUGCAUAAAAGAACUCCAUUUGGAGCAUGUUAUGAAUACAAACCUGAAUUUGUUAAUCUGAAAGCCUUUGGUCGCUUGUGUUUCUAUUAUAUUUAUCAGGUUAAGAAAAACAAAUUGGACAAGAAAGCAUAAGCUGGAAUUUUUGUAGGCUACAACUCAUCCUCAAAAGCCUACAUUGUAACACCCCAAACUCGACCUAGACGUUAUGGCCGAAUUCGGAGAAGUCACAGAGAUUGAGUUUAGUUGCAUAAAAUCAUUUCAAUUACUUAACUCAUAUACUUUAUAUCCAUUUUGAAAACGUUAAUUAGUUAGUUUAUUUGUCAAAACCUAUUUUACUGUGAAAGUCUAUCAAAACCGAUACAUUUAGAAACCCAAUUCGUAUUUUUUUAAGAAAACCUCUUUCUGCGUGAAAACCUUCAAUUUCAUAAAAUAAUUUAACCAAGCAUGCAGAAAAUCAGCAAACCAAAAUCAACAAUUUAAAACAAAAAAGUCCAUAGAGUCCCAAAAAUUACAAGCUCUCAAAAUAAGUACCAAAAACAUAAAUUAAACCACAAAUUGCUAAGUUUAAUCAAUUUGCGGUCAAGUGGUUAUCGUAGAUUCUCUGCUGCACCGAUCCGCCUAAGUCUGUGGAUUACCUUACAAAACAAACAACAGAUGUCAGUUUACGAAAACUCACUGUGUAACCCAACAAAUUUAAGCAUGAAAACAUACAGAAUUAUAUGCACAGUCAAAUACAGAUACAGAUUUAGUUUCAGAUAUGGAGAAUCCUACCCCCAUCCUCUACACACCAACUCCGACCAUCCCAUCACACCAUGUGGGGUUAAAAACACUCACCCAUCCCUAUACACCAUGUUGUGCCAUUAAGACACAUAUCAGAUAAUAUGCAGCCAAGCUGCCAGAAUAAAGGCGAUUAACGCCGAACAGAAUACUUCCUUCUCAUAUAUAAAUCCCACCCCAAUAACAGAUACAGAGAUUCAGAUACAAAUAUAACAAAUUAAACAUGCUCAACAAGUUUUAUACAAAUAGCGGAUACACAUACAUCAAUACAGACAGGCAUACGUUUAGUAUCCUACUCAGAUCAAUCUAUCAGAAUAUCAUAGCAUACAAAUCAGCAUUUAAUUAGCCCUUACAGACCCUACUGUAGGCCCACAGUCGAUAAGAGUGACUCGUGCGACCCUAGGGAAAUUUUUAGAAUUAUGGGCCUACAUGUCAGUGUGGCUCACAUGCCCAGAUUGGCCUUUGCCUAUGUGGCCCACACGGCCCAACCUAAAAUCCACACACUCGUGUGACAUACCCGUAUAGGCCCACACGCCUAACACGGCCUAGCCCGUUUGGCCAACACGGCCACACUCAUGCCACCACACAACCAUGUCCUACGUACGACCAAGCUUUUGUUGAUCACACAGCCGUGUCUCGCACACGACCAUCUACACGAGUGACCACAUGCCUAUGUGGCGUCGACAGUGCAGUUUUUUGACUUUCGUCGAAACUUAAUUUUUCGUGUUUUGGGAACACACCUGGUAUCAUUUUGAUACAAAAACCCUCCCGAGACCACCAGAACCCCAACACUCCGAACGAUUUCAAUUACUAUUCCGCGAUGGGGGAGCCCUGUACUUCACGAUUCGCCUCAAACAAUUGAAGGAAAACAGAUAAGUAAAAUACUGAGAUUCGUUGAUGGAUCAAAGUAAAAUAAAGGAAGUAACAAAAAGGGGUAAGGACAAAAAAUAACAGAAAAAAGCCGAAGAAAAAUUACGUCAAAUUCUUGGAAAGAAAAGGGAUUUUUGGGAAAAAAAAUAUGAAUCGAGUUUCUAAAUGUAUCAGUUUGAUAGACUUCCGCAGUAAAAUAGGUUUUGGAAAAUAAACUAACUAAUUAACAUAUGGAUAUAAAGUAUAUGAGUUAAGUAACUGAAAUGAUUUUAUGCAACUAAACCCAAUCUCUAUGACUUCUCUAGAUUCGACCAUAACAUCUAGGCCGGGUUUGGGGUGUUACAUACAUAAUUUACUUCUCAGACGCAACAAAGUCAUAAUUAUCAGAGAUGUCCAUUCCAUGAGUCAGAUAGCUGGAGUUGAGAUGCUGACAAAAAGAUUGAGUUUUAUGAUGAAGAUUAUAGCAUAGAUGAUGAACAUAGUAGAGGAAGUCGAUCACUUUCUGACAUCUAUCAAAUGUGUAAUAUUUUAGUGAUAGAGCUGGAAGGGUAUGAAGAAGCCACAUCUAAUAAAAGAUGAUUGGUUGCAAUGAAGGAACAGCUUAGCAUGAUUGAAAAGAACCAAACAUGGGAACUAGUAGACAAACCAAAUCACAAGAAUGAGAUAGGAGUGAAAUGGGUUUAUAAAACCAAACUCAAUCCUGAUGGUUCUGCAAACAAAUACAAGGCAAGACUAGUCGUCAAGGGGAAUGCUCAACUAUUUGGGGUAGAUUUUUCAGAAACUUUUGCUCUAGUUGUCAGGAUGGAUACUGUACGAAUGUUAUUGGCCCUUGUUGCACAAAAGGGUUGUCUUGUACACCAAAUGGAUGUCAAAUCAUCUUUUUUAAAUGGGUACUUGGAGAAAGAAAUAUUCAUUGAACAACCACAAGGAUUUGUUGUUCAAGGAAAAGAAAAGAAGGCGUAUCGAUUGAAAAGGGCACUAUAAGGCUUAAAGCGGGUGCCAAGAUCUUGGUACAAUAGAAUUGAUGCAUAUUUGCUUGACUUAAGUUUUGAAAAAUGCCUAAGUAAAUUUACUUUGUAUAUCAAUAAAAAUGCUAAUAAAUUACUUGUGGUGUCUCUUUAUGUUGAUGACUUACUUGUAACAGGAAGCAGACUGGACUAAUAGACAAGUUCAAAAGAUGAGAUGAAAAUGGUCUUUGAAAUGACAGAUCUUGGAGAAAUGACAUUUUUUCUUAGUAUGCAGGUAUAACAAAAGCAAAAUGAAUUUUUUGUGUGCUAGAAAAAAUAUGCAAAAGAAGUCCUAAACAAAUUUCACAUGGAAGCAUGCAAGCCGACUGCAACUCCAAUGAAUCAAAAAAAGAAGUUUUCGAAAGAAGAUAGAGCUGAAAAAAUUAAUGACAAACUAUAUAGAAGUUUAAUUGGUUGUUUGAUGUAUUUGACAGCAACCAGACCACGCAUCAUGCUUGUUGUGAGUUUGUUAUCAAGAUAAAUGAAUUGUGCUUGUGAAAUUCAUUUUCAAGUAGCAAAAAGAAUUCUGAUAUAUGUAAAAGGCAUGGUUGAUUAUGGCAAAAAAACAUAACAUAAGUAUUUUAUUAAAUUAUAUACAUUACAUUAAAAUACAUUUCUUUUUAGCAGGUGAAUGGAAAAUUGUCUUCUUUGUCAUCUUCUUGUAGUUUCUUAACAUAAUGACAUCAUUCUCACCAAAAAAAAAGGUGUCUCAAACAUAACAAAAUUGUUCCGAGACGAUUUUGUUAUUAAAAAUAAUGUUUAUAUAUAUUAUACUUGGUUUUAAAUGGAAAUAAUUUAAUUAAAAUUUGACAUUUACAAAUGAAAUUUUUUAAAAAAUUUAUAAUGUGAAUAUGAAUAUUUGUAUAGAACCUUAUUAUAUAUAUAAUAACAAGAUACAAAAACAUAAUAUUGAGACAAAUGGUACAUCUCUAUUUUUUUCUAUUUAUAUUUUAUAAUUAUUAAUUACCAAUUUUUUUAUAAUAAAAUUAUAUUAAAGAUAUAUCAUUAAAUUUUUAAAAAAUAUUCAAAGUAAUUUAUCCAUUAAAAAAACUAUCUAAAAUUUUAAACUAUUGUUAUUAUCACUUAUAAAUGAAAAAAAAAGUUAAAUAGAUACUUUUUUUUAAAGAUAAAUAAUUUUAGAAGUAUAUAUGAAUAAAAAUAAAUUUUAGAAUUAAUAGAUAAUAAUUUUAAGAAAUGUAAUUCUUUUUCACAAGAUCUUUUUUUUUGGUUAACAACUAUAUUAUUUUUACAUCUCUAUUUUUUAUAUUUAAUUUCUAUAGUUUUUCCUUUUUUUAAGAUAAUUUUUAUAAUUUUUCAUUUACAUUUAAAGAAAAACAAUCUAUUAAAAACUAAGAAAAACAAUUCAUUUAUAUGUAAAAUUCUUGCAAUCAAAGAAAAUGAACUGUCACGUCUUUAAAUGUGGAUUAAAUGUUCAAGUUAAAUUUGUAACUAUUGAAUUUAUUUUAAUUUUCUGUUUGAGCAUGCAAUUGGACUUCUGAUUGGGCAAGAUCUGUCAGAAUGACGAAAAUUGUAUCGAUACCUCCGGAUUUUCUAGUGUAGAAAACCCUAGUCUGUCGAAACCCUAGGUAUUUAAACACACUUUCUCAUUGGUCGGCCCCUUCUUUUCAUUUUCUUUUGUUUCUAUUGUCGCUCUUAACAGUAGCAUUCUCUUUUCCUCUCUUUUCUUCUUUUCUUCCUCUGUUUUUCCUAGCCGUCAUACCCUAGUUAUCAUCGUAUCCUCCAUCACAUUUGAACUGCCAAUUUCACUCCUCUUGUCAAAUCACCUUUUGUUCGUUCAAACCCUGUUAGUGUUUAAAACUGUCAAUAAUCAUUCCCGUUCCCAAUUAUAGUAGGGUGGUAAGUGAAACUCCCUAUAUUGAUUGGACUCCGUUUUUGGUUACACAAUCAAGUUGUGGUUAACUCUAUUUCGUUUUGUUCAAUCAAUUUCUACUAAAUCUUCUUGAAACCUUUAAUGUUGAUUCCUAUGUAUGAUGUUUUGUGUGUAUGUCAAAUAAAGGAUUUGAUCUAGAGGAGAAUGAAUCAGAUCUAAACUAAAUAAGUACAUUGGAUGAGUGAGGGUGUGGCACGAGCCUGUAGGUGAAGGUGUGUGUCUUGACUGUUCGUUCCGUGUAUGUGUCUUAAUAGUGUAUAGCGUUGUGUGUAUGGGUUAGGCCAAAUAUAUAAGGGUCUAUUUGUGCAUAUUGGUUCUUGAUUUUAUCUAUUAGUGUUAAUACAAUAUUGUAACACCCCAAACCCGGCCUAAAUGUUAUGACCAAAUCUGAAGGUGUCACAAAGAAGGGUUUUGAAAACAGUGUCAUCUCGAUCAAGCUUUAUAUGGUUGUUCAUAAAAUCAUCCAAGUUUUAUAACCCAUAUUCAUUUUUAACUAUUGCCAAAAUCGUUAUUUAAUUAUUUCAUUUUCCCAAAACAUAAUUUAUAGUAUAAGUUUUAGAAAUCGUUACAUUUGAAAAUCCAGUUCGUAUUUUCGGAAAAACCUUUGUUUUCAUAAAACCGCUGCAAAUAAAGAGUCAAAAGCGAAAGUCCAAAUCCAAAAUAAAAACCGAAUAGUCCAGAGAGUCCAAUAAUUACAAAACUCCAAGAAAUAAUCCUUAUUUAAAUAAAACCAUUAUUUAAGUCAAUUCACAAACUGGUGGUUACCGUGAGACUUCGCCGCACCGAUCCACCUAAGUUUGUGGAUUACUUGAACAGAAUAGAUAAGUAGAUGUGAGUUUUCAUAAACUCAGUGUGUAACCCAACAGAAAUAGACAAACAACAUACACAGAUUUUCAUAAUCAGCUAGGUAUAGAAUCGGACUUAAGUCCAUAACAGAUACAGUUAUAAGAAUCAGAUAAGCAGAACAAAUAUAAUGAGUCCUACCCCCAUCCUUUACAGACCAUCUCCGACCAUCCCAUCACAUCAUGUAGGGUUAAAAACACCCACCCAUCCCUACAUACCAUGUAGUGUCGAAGUUAUACGUUACAGAUAAUACUCAGUCAAGCUGCCAGAUAUAGGCGAAGUGUCGCCAUACAGAUCACUUCCUCCACAUAUACAAGUCCCACCCCAAACACAAACACAAAUAUAGAAACAAUAGAUACAGUAAUAUCAUGCAUAACAUGCUCAUAUACAAAUAACAUAUAUUCCUAAACGGAACAGUCAGAUAUACAAAUUGGUGUCUUACUCGGAGCAGACUACCAAAAUACUAGAUCAUAUCAAUUAGGGUUUAGUUAACCGUUAUCGAUGCUACGGUAGGCCCACAGUCGAUCAGAACGACCCGUGCAACCCUGGGGAAAUUUUAGAAUUAUGGGCCCACAUGCCCAUGUAGCUUGCCCGUGUGGGCCCACACACUUGACUUGGCCUAGCCCGUAUGGCCCACACGUACACACUCACACCGCCACACGGCCUUGUCUAGCAUAGGACCACACCUUCGUCAGACACACGGACAUGUCUGGCACAAGGCCAGGCACACGUCCGUGUGGCGUUGACAAGAUGCAUUUUAUGUUUUCGUCGAAACCUGAUUUUCUGUGUUUUGGGAACACACCUGGUUCGAUUUUGAUACGAAAGCAACCCCGAGACCUACGAAACCUAUAAUCAACAAUCCAAUGUCCAAUUUCAGUAACAAUAUUACAAAACACAAACGAAACCUAUUCCGCAACAAAGCCUUAGAAUAAUCACCAACCGUAGUCACACACUUACCGCUGACGAAUAGAAAUCACUAAUACGAUCUAAGCUGCUGUAGUGAACUCCUCAGUUUCACGGUCUUCUCCUACGCACACACUCACAGAGAUUAAUCUCCCAAACCACACACCAACACCUAUUCAAAAGAGCGAAAAUCAAAAGAAUGAACCUACAGGCUUACCAAGAUGAACGAUGCAAAACUGAAACAUCGAGCCCCAACAAUUAAAAUGACCGAUUAUUUGAAUAGAGUAGAGAGAAAGCAAAAACAAAAAGUGGCAAAAAAGAAGGGAACAGAGGAAAAAGUAGAAAACAUCAGAAAGAUAGCAAAAUUAUGGGAAAAUAAAAUAAAAAUGAUAAUUCAAUUCAAUUACCCCCAAACUCCCCACUCCAUCCACUAACGACCAAAUCCCAAUAAAUCUGACCACUAACCUCAUCCAACUACCUCAGAAUCCAAACUCCACCGAAACUCUAUCACAAAACUGAGCAAAAAUUCACACCCACGCUCACGUAGGGGUUCGAACAUAGGACCUCCAACACACUAACUACUUAUCACUCAAACCAAUAGGCUUAUUCUGAUACGGAUUAACAAACAAUUUAAUAUAAGUCCACUCAAUAAGAGUAAGGCUUGGAUCUAAAAUAACAAAGUUUUUCCAAAAGUGAGAGUUGAACCCAAGACCUCUCACAAACACCCAGGAUACUUAACCACUGAAGCAGAUACAUAUUUAUGUCAGAUUUCACAAAAAUAGAAAUAAGUUAUCAAGGGCGUUAUAAUAUUCUAAUGGUUUUCGUUGUGAUAAGUAGCAUCAGAUCUGAAAAUGUUACAUCAUCUGUUAAGUCACUGAAAAAUUAUGAGUACUAUUUGGUUAAAAACUCAACCGUGUGUCGUAAGUAUGAUAACUGAUAAAUGCCAAAAGUAACAUGUUUUAGCCUCAUUCUUAAUGAGUUUUUGGAUUAUUAUUCGAUUUAAAAUGGCAAAUUUUAUGCUCCUAAUCCUUUCAAUUUAUGUUUCUAUACUUAUAAGAGCAUUUGAGAGCAAAAUGAGUAAAAAAUGAGAGAAAAUCGGAGCAAGUUUUAGGAGCCCAUAUGGCUAAUCCAUUCCACACAACUUAGACAGACGGUCAUAUGCCAGAUCAUGUGGAUUUUAUGGAUCGCACUUCAAACAUGUAGGAAAACAUAAUUUUUAGGUUUUUCAGACAUUUUAAGAUCUAUAUAUGACAAAGAUAAGAAGAGGAGAGUAAGUCGUCAGAGAAUACUCAAGAAAAUAACUUGGAAAACACCAUUGAAGCCAACUCUGGAGUAAAUUUCCAUCAAGAUUGAAGAUCUCCUUUUUAUUUAUUUGAAGUUUAUUAUGAGUUUCUUUAUUUCUUGUGGUUAUAUUAUCUUUGAUAUGUUUUUAUUUGCGAUUAUGAACUAAUUUUCUAAAUACCUAGAGAGAUGAACCCUAUGAUGGAUUAUGUUAUUUGAUUUCUAUUUUUACACAAUAAAUACUUGGAUCUUGUUCUCAAUUAUGUGUGCUUAAUUCUUGUUUAGUAUUUCUAGAUUAUUAAUCUAUGUUUGAUGUGCUUAAAUCAGAGGAGGAAUAGGCACAGUUGAAGAGUAAAUCUAGCAAAAUUGAGUGGAUUUAUAUGCAAUCCUAGAAAUAGGACGACAUAAAUCUACAAGAUUAGAGUCAAAUCUAAUUGGGGGAUCCAUAGAUUGCACUAAUGCGACAAUAGGGGUUUUAGUUAGAAAGAAAUUUCAAUUAAUCAAUUUAAAGCCAGUUGCUCUUACUCUCGAAAGAGAUAUUAGCAAAAUUUAGGGAUUUCUACGGAUCAAGAUACUAAGUGAAUAAAUUGUUUAAUUUAGAUUGAUAAUGACAGAUGCAAUCUAAAUGGAUUCUUUCCUGGGUAUUGCUUCGCUUCUUGGUUGUUAAUCUUUGUCAACUAACUCUUAGGUCUCAUUCUUCUUGAUCACUUGAUCAUGGAUAUCUCAGCUUCCAUAUCUUUUAUCCAACCAUUUUCUUUUUUUUCCUCUUCAUAGCUCAUAGGCUCUAACACGAUAACAUUUCACCUUUCAUACACUUUAGAUAUAGCCCUAGUUCCUAUAACUGGUAGAUCAUUAAAACAAUCAACAUCUUGGUUUUGAGCUUUAUCAGCUCGCACAUUCAACUCAGACUAACUUUAUUCAACCAACUCAGCUUCUCUAGCUUCCCAAACCCAUAAGGCUUCCUCACUGAACUUCACAUCUCUGCUCUCAAACACUUUACUGGUAAAGGGAUCAAAAAUCUUGUACCCUUUCUUGCAAAUUCUAUAGCCAACAAAAAUACCUUGUUGGGAUCUUCAUUCCAGCUUAUUCCUUUUGACAACAAGUAUAAGAGCAUAACACACACAACCAAAAACUUUCAAGUGUGACACUGAUGGUUUGAAGCUGAACAAUCCUUCAAAUGGUGCCAUAUCCUUCACAACUUUUGUUGGCAAUCUGUUGAGCAAAUGAAUAGAGGUGUUCACAGCUUCAUCCCACAACUGGUUUGGUAGCUUCUUCUCGAACAACAAGCAUCGUGACAUAUCCAUAAUUAUUCUAUUUUUCCUUUCACAUAACCAUUUUGCUGAGGGGUAUAUGUGUUAGUCAACUGAUGUUUAAUUCUAGCAUCUUCACAAAACUUCAGAAACUUUUUAGAUGUGUACCCAGUCCCAUUAUAAGACCUGAGUAUUGUCAACUUGCAACAAGCUUGAUCUCAACAGUAGCUUUAAACUUUCAGAAGACCUUAGUAACUUCAGACUUGGCCUUUAAAAAAUACACCCAACAAUAUAUAGUGUAAUGAUCAAUAAACAAAAUGAAGUAUCUCUUGUUGCUAAGUGAAGUAGACUUCAUUAAACCAUAUACAUCAAUGUGAACUAGAUGUAUCUUCUCAGUACCUCGCCAUGCCUUGUAACACCCCGUACCCGAGACCGUUGCCAGAGUCGAACACGAGGUAUUUACAGACUUAUUUCAUUGAUUUUCACAGUCCAUUUUAAAAAAUUUCCAGACAAGCUGGCUAACUGCGUCACUGUUACCUUAAAAAUCAUAUCUUGAGUUCCAAAACUUGAAAACAAGUUUCGUAAAUUUUACCUGUAACUAGACUCAUAUAUUCAUCUAUAAUUUUUUUUCUAGAAUUUUUGGUUGAGCCAAUUAGUACAUUUUAUUAGUUAAAGUCUCCCCUGUGUCAGGGUUCAACUGCUCUGACCUUCAUGCGUUACGACUUAUAUAUCUUCCAGUACAGGGCUUCAUUACUUAUGCCGUUUCUUUCUAACGAAACUAGACUCAAAAAUGAAUCUAUACAUAUAUGGAAUGACCUCUAAUUAUCUCUGGUUAAUUUAUAGUGAAUUUCAAAACUCAGAUCAGGGGAUCCAGAAAUAGCUCUGGCCCUGUUCCACGAAAACUUAAAUAUCUCUUAAAAUACGACUUAUAUGUUCGUUUCGUUUCUUCCAUAUGAAAUUAGAUUCAUCAAGGUUCGUUUACAUAAUUUAUUCACUAUUUAAUUCCAUUCCUACUAUUUUUAGUGAUUUUUCAAAUCCAUACCACUGCUGCUGUAAGCAUCUGUUUUUAAGGUAAACUUUACCUAUUUCAUGGUUUUCCAUGAAUCAACUAGAAUUUGUCAUACAAAACACCAAAAUGAUCAUGAUUAACCAUUCCAAUGGCUAAUCGUUACUAAACAUUUCCAUACCUCUCAAUGAACAACAUACAAAACGAUUAUAAUGCUAUGCUCAAAGAGUAUAUAAGCCAUUUUCGCAUGGCUAUCCAAAUUUAAACAAAACCAAGGGUACAUGACCAACAACAAAAAUGGUAGUCCUAUACAUGCCAUUUUCAGAGUUCAACCAAAAAUGUACCAAAAGGGCUUUGAUAGUGUGGACGACUUCGACUUCGAUAGUCCCGAGUCCGAUAGCUGACGAACCAAAAUCUAUAAAACAGAGAAUCAAAGAAACGGAAUAAGCAUUUAAUGCUUAGUAAGUUUUGAGCAAUGAAAUCAUGCACAACUGAAGUAUAGCAUUCAUACGACUAAACGAAUAAUUUCAUAUACACAUUUUCUCACAAUCAUACCUACUUCACAUUUCCAACCCUUAUAUUCAUACAUAAGAAAUCAACUUGACUAAAAUCCGGAAGCUUGUUAAUCGAUUGAGCAAAUACUAUUUAGAAGGAAUCAAUUAUCUCAAUGCACAUACGAAACAUACCUCAUUGUUGGGAUUUUACGAGCGUAUUAAUUGAAAUUAUUACAGCAAGAUCGCUCAUUCCCAAACCCAAUUAUCUUCGGGAUUUAGCCGGAUAUAACCACUCACACAAGGCCUUCGGGUCUUAGUCCGGAUAUGGUCACUAGCACAAAUGCCUUCGGGACUUAGCCCGGAUAUAGUAACUCGCACAAAUGCCUUCAGGGCUUAGCCCGGAAUUAGUAACUCGCACAAAUGCCUUCGGGGCUUAGCCCGGAAUUAGUAACUCGCACAAAUGCCUUCGGGACUUAGCCCGGAAUUAGUAACUCGCACAAAUGCAUUCGGGACUUAGCCCAGAAUUAAUCACUAGCACAAAUGUCUUCGGGACUUAACCCCGUUAGUAUCCGAAUAUUCAUGCACAUAUCAGUAAAUCAUGACACAUCUUUAUUUCAUUUUCAUAACUAGAAUUCAAACACAAAUCAAUUAUUAAGCAUUCCCAUUUUCGGCUCAAUAGCCACAUACGAACAGCAUGAUUCAGUUUGCUUCAUGACAUGAUUUCUAUGCACAUACGGCUACCCAUCAUACGUAUAGACUAAUUAACUCACAUAUAAUUCAAGUGGAAUCAUUAUAUCACCGUAUAUUGUUAUGAUUAUACGUCAUGACUUAAUCAAAUCGUAAACUAAGUUUCAUUACUCGAAAACUUACCUCGGAUGUUGUCGAACGAUUUCGACGGCUAUUCGAUCACUUUUUCCUUCCCUUUAUCGGAUUUAGUUCCCCUUUGCUCUUGAGCUUAAUUUAACAAAUAAAUUGAUUUAAUCAUUUGAACAUCAAAAAGAGAAACUCAAGGUAUUUAACCCAUAUAUACAUUAGACAUUAGAGUCAUAUACAUAUGAAAUCAUGAAUCAACUCAACAUAUUAGCCCACACUCCCUUUUAGCCGAUUAUCUAAGCCAAGAUAAAAGCAUCAAUAUGCUUGCCUCUAACCGAAUACAUGCAACACCAAUCUACCUCACGUGGCCGAAUAUGCAUGUCUAUGUUGAGGCCGAUUCUAUACUUAAUACAUUCUACAAAUAUGGUUACUUGUAUUGACUACAUACCAUUUCGUUUCAAGUUCAAAACUCGGCUAAUACACAUAUAUACACUAAUAAUCAAAUACUAAUAUUUGCACUUCACCUUACUAUCAAUUCUCAUCUACUUCCUACCAUGGCCGAAUGCAUCAAGACACCAUACCAUUUCAAUUUUGGUCAUGGGUUAAACAAAGAACUUAAUGUCUAACUCAAAAAUGCUAAAAAGAAAAUCCAAGAGUCAUCAAUCACCAUCACAUGUAUCAUUACAAAGCUUCACACUUAGCAUGCAAAUGACAACAACACAAGUCCACCUUAGCCGAAACUUAGCUCAUCUUCAUGUCUCAUCACCACAACAUCAACCACCAACCAAGAAGGCAACACCCAUGGCCGAAUAUCAUCUCCAUCUCAUAGCAAAGAUUUAGACCAUGGGGUAGGUAGAACUCAAGCUAACAACUAAAAAUAUGCACGAAUCUCAUGGAACAACAUCAACAUACCUUAGCCUAGUGAACCACCAUAGCCGAUUUUCUCCAAGCUCUUUUUCCUCUCUUUCUUUCUUCUAUUCGGCCAAGUUCACAACAUGAGAACUUUUUUUUUCUUUUCCUUUUUCUUCAUCAUUUUCCUUUUCAUUAUUUUAUUACCAUGCUCCUUAUUUUAUCAUUUCUAACAUAAACCAUUAACACAACAUGUUUAUGACAUGUUUUACCCAUCACACUUUGUCCACCCUUAUUGUCAUGGCCGGCCACUACUAAUUAAAUGGGGGAAAUUGACAUGCAAGUCCACCCCUUUGAUUACAUGCACUAAUAGAUCCUUAUAGAUUAACCUAUCACAUUUCAAAAGUGUCACACAUAAGUCCUAUUAACUAAAUCAAAGCUUAAAACUUUCACACAUUCAUAUUCACAUAUUUUAGACAAUAAUUAUCAUAUUCUAAUAAUUUGGUGACUCGGUUUAGCGGUCCCGAAACUGCUUUCCGACUAGGGUCACUUUAGGGCUGUCACAUGCCUUCUUCAUAGGAAAAGGAAGUCUUGCAUAGUUCCCAAACUGACAUACAUCGCAUGCUGCAGUUUGCUCAUCAACUUCACACAUGUUUUGUAACACUCCUAACUCGUAUUCAUUGCCGGAAUAGGGUUACGAGGCAUUACCAGAUAAUACACCUCAUUCACAUACAUUCAUAAUCAAAAUUCAUUCAAAUCAUUCACAAUGUCCUUUAUAAGGCUCUACGAUACCUUAAAAUAUGAUUAGAAGUGGUUUAGGACUAAACCGAUAACAUUUACAAACUUUGGGAAUCUUAGAAAAUUUUUCAACAUUUAAGGGUCAAACCCCGUGUGAACAAGCAGUGUGCCUCACAUGGCCAGACACGCUCGUGUCACAAGUUGUGUGAAAAUAGGCCAUACAUACUGACUUGUACCACACAGCCGAGGACACGCCCGUGUGUCAUGGCCGUGAGAAAACUGGAGGGGUUAUUGACUUGGGUCACACAGUCGGCCACACGCCCAUGUGCCAGCCCGUGUGUUAUACACGGCUAAUAGACACGACUGUGUGUCUAGGCCUUGUCAAAACUGUAGGGUAUACUUCCUUAAUUCAAAAGGGUACCCCUAGAGGACGAACGGCCGUGUAACAUGACCGUGUGUCGCACACGGCUGAGACACACGCCCAUGUCUUUGCCCGUGUGGACAAAAGUAGGCCAUUUGCAAAUCCAAUUUGCCACAUUUUUCUCAUGCUCACCUAGCCAUCAAAAUGGUAUCAUUUUAACACAUAUAUAUAGGAAGCCAAAACAAUCCAAUUCACACACAUAUCAUGCCAUCAACUACUCAAUUCCAUAAUCAAAAACAUACCUAAUCAUCAAAAAUUUACAUAACUUGUAAUUACAUUUAUUCAUCAACUUAUCCUCUAAUUCAAGACACAUAACACACCAUAUCAUCACCUCAAUCAAUCUACAAUAUGCAAACUUCAAAUCAAUAAUACCACAACUUAUGACUAACCAAAAGAGCAACCAUAUAACCAUUCCAAACAAACCAACAUAUAAGGCAUUAUAUACAUCACAUAUAACACUUAUCAAACACAUAAUUCAAGUCAACUUAAAUGGUCAUACACAUUAACAUUUACAAGCCAAACCUCAUGGCUAAUAUCAUGACUCAAAAUAUACCAAAAUGGCACUAGCCUAUACAUGCCAUAUACCAUAUAUACAAAGGUCCAAAAGUACCAACAAAUAGUUGAUAGUGUGAUUAUGGUUCCCGAUGAUCCCCGAUGUACGAGCUAGCUUCGAUAAUCUAUAAAACAUGGAAAGAACACAUGAAGUAAGCUUUAAAAGCUUAGUAAGCCAUAUACAAAUAAAGCUAUCAUUUGAACCUUUGCAUAUCAAUUCAAAUAUGCUAAACAUAACUAAUCACACACAAGUUCACAAACCUUUCUCAUUAAACACAUAUUCAAUAUCUUAAUCAAAUUCAUCAUUUACUUCACUUCUCAAUACUCGUAUGAAUCUCAUACGUACCUGAGUCACUUAGCUCAUUCAGAUAUUCUUUCUCAACUUGAUUUUGCCUGUUGAACCAUUCAGAAUCAUUAAAGAUACUCGAAAAUCACAUAAGCUCUUACAAUGCCAUAUUCCAGAUUUGAUCUCACAUGUUAUCACAUAUCGAUGCCACUAUCCCAGACAAGGUCUUACACGAAAUCAAUUAACGAUGCCAAUGUCCCAAACAUGGUCUUACAUGUAACCUCAAUACAAUGCCAAUGUCCCAGACAUGGUCUUACAUGUAAUCACAAUUUGAUAACCUAAUGUCAUGACAUUCGUAUCCUAUACUAUUCCUAAGGUUCGUACGGGACUUUUGAAUAUCGAAACUUCAUUAUUUCUUUCUCGUAAUUACUAGUUCAACAUUCAAAAUAAUUCAAUGGCAAGUAAACACAUAUAAUUCAAUUUAAAGACAUUUAUUUUCAUAUAAACUUACCUCAUAGUCGGAAUAAAGGGACUAAAUCGACUAUUCAAUAACUUUAGAUUUUCCCCGAUCCAAAUCUGAUUUUUUCGUUCUUGAUCUAUAUACAUUCGAAAUUAAAUAUUUUAUUCAUCAACACAUUCAGUCUAGUCCACAAACACAUAUUUGGGCUUUUUUCACUUUAGCCCCUAAAGUUUCACAUUUUUACAAUUUAGUCCCUAUUUCAUAAAUACACAAAAUUCACACAAUUCAAUAUGGCCCAUGCUUAGCCUAAUUCUCUAUAGCUCCAUAACAGUCCAUAUUUUUAUUUAUUUCACACUUUUAACCACAAUGUUUCACAUUUUCUCAAUUUAACCCCUAAUUGACAUUUUUACUCAAAAUCACUUUACAAACAUGUAUAUCAAACAACAAGCUUUCAUAUUCCAUCAUCAAACAUUCAAAAACACAUAAAUUCAUCAAUGGACACUUUCAAAAUCAUCAACACUUUCAAAAUUGAGGCAUGGGCUAGCUAGUACUCAAAGCAACGAUCACAAAAACAUAGAAAUCAUUAAAAACCGAGCUAAAAUUGUACCUUAUCAAGCUUAACCAUGGCUGAAUGGAUGAAAGCUCAAAACCCUCUUUUCUUUCUCUAGUAUUCAGCUAAGGAUGAUGAUAAUUUAAGCUUAAAAUUGUUUUUCUUUUAUUUAUUAUUUUACCAUUUUACCCUUAAUUAUUAAACAUUUAAAACAUCAAAUAUAAGGCCAUUAAUGUCUAUCUCCACUAUCAAUGGUCUAAUUACAACAUAAGGACUUUUCAUUUAAUAGGCCAUAGCAAUUAAGCACUUUUAACUUAUAGCAUGCUACUUUUGCAUUUUACGUGAUUAAGUCAUUUUUCUCAAAUUGAGCUAUUAAACGAUAAAAUUAGCUCACGAAAUUUUCACACAUAUAUAUUCACAUGCUAUAAACACCAAAAAUAAUAUUAAAAUAAUUUUCCAACCUCAGAUUUUGGUUCCGAAACCAUUGUUCUGAUUUAGCUAAAACUGGGCUAUUACAUGUUCUCAACCAAACUAUACUUAUACAACACACCAAAUAAUCAGUAAUUGACAUGCCCUAGUCUCUUGUGCCAUAAGUUAGUACCAUCAGUUAAACUAGAAUAAGCUUUUAAGGUAACUGAGUUCCAAUUUAGAACAAAGCUCAUAUCAUUCAUUUUUACUAACAUAAGCUUGUGACCAGUUGAAUUAGAAAUAACACAUUUAUUCUUUUCAAAAAAUAAUAGAAUACCUAUUCUUAACAAGUUUACCAACACCGAGAAAGUUCUGACCUAAACAUCAGUAAUAACUUUUGUACCUACAGAAGUUGUAACACCCCAAACCUGGCCCAGACGUUACGACCAAAUCUAGCGUGUCACCUUUAAGCGUUACUAGAAAAGUCAUGUUUUAUCUAAAGUCUUUCUUAGUGUUUAAAGAAUAUCUUCGUUAAAGAUUAAAGUGAAUAGAAGCUGUGCACCAGGUAGGAUGCCAGAAAAGAGGAGGUGAGUCAAUUAGACUACUUAAGUACCCAGCUCUUCACGGAUCCAAUCCUAGACAUGCACACAAUCAUUGCCACACUUUAACUGAGUGAUUGUUCAAGGAAAACCAAUUCGUUUAAAACCAUUUGAAAAGGCUAUUAAUUUUGAAAACGUUUUCGUUGCGAAAGCUUUGCUUUGUUAUCACAAUAUUUUGAAAUCAAGUAACCUUUUUAAAACGCACCCUAAAGCUAGUCAAUUUCAUAUAAUUAAAACAAUAUCAUAACUAAGCUAACAAAACAUACUAAAAAUAAUUAAAGCGGCCUUAUUACAAAUUAAAAACCCAAAACCAUAAAGGAAAUAAUCUAAAAUAAAAGUGAAAGUAUAAAAACUUAUUUUAAACAGUCCACAUGGCCACUCUAAAUCCCUCCAGCUCCAAGUCCACUGAUCUAAAGCUCAGCUGCAAAGAUGGGAAAAAAAGGGGUGAGUUUGGAAAACUCAGUGUGUAAAGUAUCCCAACCAGAGCCCAAAUCAGUUCAAGCUUUACUAGGCCUAAGCCCUACUCAGAAAUCAGAGCUAACUGGGCCUUAGCCCAUAUCAAUAUUAAUCUGGGCCAUAGCCCCUUACAAUAUCAGAGUAUACUGGGUCUAGCCCAUAUCAAUAUCAAUCUGGGUCGUAGCCCUAUUACAAGUUGAGAUAUAUUGGGUAUUGCCCAUAUUAACACAGUUGGGCCCAUAACAAAACAGUCUCAUAUGAUUAAUGCAUGAUAACCCCAUCCAACCCUGCACUUGCCUCCAUCCAUCCCUACACUUCCUGCGGGGAAUAAAUCACCCAUGCCAUCUCUACACUUACAGUGUUAGCACCGGUUGCGGCACUAACUAUAAUCCGCAGCAAAACUGCUUAUAUCAGAAUAUGUGGCACAGCCACCAGAACGGGUUCUUCCUCCAUAACAAAACUUAACCCCAUGUAGUAUGACAUGAAUGCAGAAUAUAUAUAAUUAACAAGGCAUGCUUCAGAAAGACAGUCAGAUUAUAGCGUAAGAACAGUUAUUUACCAUCAAAGGGCGUAAUCGUAAACUUACCCCUUUAGGGGUAUUACGGUAAUUCUACCUUUCAGAGGUAUUUCAGUAAUUUUAUCAGUCUUUUUAGGGUUUCAUGCUCAUUACAGUUAUUAACGUAUUAACAGAAACACUUACCGAGCGUUUUUACCGAAUUGGGCCCGUUGUCCCACUAACCCGUUUUUGGCCUAUUAAGCCCAAAUAUACCGAAGUGCACGAAAUUGCACACUCUACAAUCAUACCACUUGUAAUUACCAAAAUUUAACAAACAAACAACCUCACGAGCACUCGCACGCUCGCAAGUUCACAAAUGCCGGCUUUUCGGCAUUUCGGGUUUUCGGCUUUUGCCGAUCUAGUCUAUGAGUGGGUGUCAUUUACACACCUGAUUUGUAACGGUACGCCGGCGAGAUCCACUCACGACUUACCUACAAUCGAUUUACUAAACGUCAGUCUACAUACCGAAAACAAACUACCUACUAUUUCCCCCUUACCAUAUUCGGCCAACAUUCCCUUAGACCCUAGAGUUCUUACCUUUUUUCCGGAAUAUGGAUUAGAUCUAGAGAUCCAAUCUGAAUCAGUUCUUCAAACCCUUCACUGCACGCCCCCUUGUCCACGCUAACGCUUACACAAUGAAAAAGAAAAAGGCACCAACACCCUUAGUCCAAACGUUAGCAACCCUUAAGGGGUUUCGGCUUUUAUCUUAAAUCAUAAAUAAUUAACGGAAGUUAUUCGACAAACUUACCAAUCGUUGUUCAGCCCAGAAAAGUGCUCCUAUCAAUGAUCUUAACUCUAAUCAACCGUAGUUACGAGAAUAAGCAGAUUUAAGUAGCCAAAGAUUCGGCUUCCUACACUACAGGUAUGAGGGUUUCGGCUUUUUAAGGUUCGGCUAUGAUAAGAUUCGGCUAUUAAGAAAUAAUGAAGAAAGGAAAAUAAGGGAAGAGACAGAGAGAGAAGAGUAUGGGUUCAACUAUGAGGGAAAAAAGAAAAAGAAAAGAAAAUAUGAAUGAAAGAGAGGGGAGAAAGGAAAUAAUAUUCGACAAAGGGAAAAAAGAAAAAAAAAGCACAUAGACCUAGCCGAAUUGCCUAAUACUAAAAACCCUAGGCUCAAAUCAGCUCCUAAGUUUCCUCCCUUAUCUCAUCCUUACCCAAUCCCCUGAUCAGCUCAAACUCUUCCACUGGUGAGGUGAGGCUCGAACCCCAAACCUCCGUCCGCUUUUGCGCCUUUGCCCAUGCUGCUAGCCACUGCACCACGCUUCCUUCCUUACUAAUAUACGGUCACAAUUAAUUAUAAACCUUACCUGCUUCAGUUCUGGCCCGCUUAAAAAUAAAUGAGGAAUUCACCUUCAAAAGUACACGAACCUGAGCCCUCUCCUCGUGCCCAGCACGCUGCUGUCACUGCGCUGAAGCUCCUCUCAUAAUAUAAUAUACUCACAAUUAUUUUUAAGUAUUAUCUGCUGCGGUCCCGGUUCGUUUAAAAAUAAAACAAAACAUCGCUACUUACCAGACUCGAACCCCUACCUUUCAGUUACGCUACCCGUACCUUACCACCACGCCACUUGCUCGAUUGUGUCAUCUUUCCUCUCAAGGUACUUAUAAGGCCUUCUUGCGACAAUCCCUGGUUGUAAAAAAAAAACCAACAAUUUACGCGCGCUGUGCCUUGAACCCAGGCACCUCCCAUGCCCUCUUAGCGUGCUUAGCCACUGGGCCAGGUGCUUGUUUGUGCUAAAACUCAGCCCAAAUUAUUAAUAAGGCCUGCUGCCCAGAUUCCCUUAAGAGGCAAAAUUUAAGAAUUUUGCUAAAGCUAUGGGCCGAGCCCUGGACCUUUUUUCCACACCCUAACCCUUCGUAAUUUAUUUAAUUACUACACUAGACAUACGAAAUAAAAAUAAAAAUAAUAACAUCCAAGUUAUUACGGCCGUCAUCUACUCAAACCCAGACUCAAGGCCCAAUACUCCUAGGCCUAAACAUCGGGGCGUUACAGAAGUGCUAACUUGAACAUCUCCCAUUCCCUUAGCUUCAAUGAUCUGGCCAUUUCAAACUCUGAUUCUCAAAUUGAAUGAUCUAUCAAUCUCCUUGGACAUGCUUUCAUCUGAAACCAUAUGGUUUGUACAACCACUUUCAAUCAACUAGUUUUUCUUGUCUUGGUUGUUGACUGUGAGGCAUGAAUAAGUGAAUGUGAGCUCCUCCUGAGCUUGAUUUUCUUCAGCACUUGAGCCUGAUUAGACUGCUAUUGUUGCUGCUGCACUUUGUUUUUACUAAUUCUGAAAUCGUGGCCAAAUUGCUUACAGUUUUUACACUACACACCAGAUCUUAUCCAACAGAACUUUUCUAAAUAACCCAUCUUUUAGUAAUUCGAGCAUGGUGGAUAAUUUUUCUUUUCACCAUCUAUUUUUGGCCUUUCUCUAGCUUGAUUCCAUUUCUUCUUGCCUUUUUUGCUUGAAGAGCAUGGAGUUUCCUUAUUUCUCACUUGGCAAGUACCUUCUAUGUGAAGAACUUUAGUAAUAACUUUUGUACCUACAAGAGUGCUAACUUCAACAUCUCUCUUUCCCUUGGCUUCAAUGAUCUGACCAUUUCCAAGUCUGAUUUUCGAACUAAAGGAUUUGUCAAUCUCCUUGAACAUACUUUCAUCUGAAACCAUAUGAUUUAUACAACUACUGUCAAUUAACCAAUUUUUCUUAUCCUAGUUGUUGACUGUAAAGCAUGAAGCAGUGAAUGCGAGCUCCUCCUGAGCUUGAUUUUCUUCAGCAGCUUGAGCCUAAUUAAAUUGCUGAUGUUAUUGUUACACUUUUUUUUUUACAAAUUUUGAAAUCGUGGCCAAAUUGCUUAUAGGUUUUUUUAUAAAACUUUUCUGAAUGACCCAUCUUUUAACAAUUCGAGCAUGGUGGAUACUUUUUCUUUUCACCAUCUCUUUUUGGCCUUCCUCUUGCUUGAUUCCAUUUCUUCUUGCCUUUGUUGCUUGAAGAGCAUGGAGUUUCCUUGUUUCUCGCUUGGUAAGCACCUUCUAUGUGCCCUUCUUUUCUAUCCGCUCUUCUUUGCUCCUGCACAUAUAGAAAAUUUAUGAGCUCUGACAGAGAGAUAGUUGUUAAAUCUCUCGAGUCCUCCAAGGAUGAGAUCUUGGACUUAUACUUCUCUGGCAGUGUUGUGAUGACUUUUUCAACAACCCUUCGAUCACUGAACUGAUCACCAAGAAACCUUAUGUUGUUGACAAUGGACAUGAUCAUGUCUGCAUACUGCUUGAUUAUUUCAGUUUCCUUCAUCUUCAGGUUCUCAAAGUCUCUCCUCAAAUUCAAAAAUUGUUGUUAUAUUAUCUUCUCAGUCCCCUAGAACUCCUCCUUCAACUUAUUUGAAGCUUGUUUGGGAGUUUCACAAGCCAUAAUUCUCAUGAAAAUUACAUCAGACACACCAUUCUAAAGGCAGGACAAAGCAUUAUACUUCUUAACAGCUUCAUUGCUAUAUUGUCUAAUUUGAGCUAUCGUUGGGUUAGCUCACAAAGGUGGUGAUUAUCUAUCUGAAACAAUAACUUCCCACAAGUUAUAUGCCUAAAGAUACGUAUUCAUCUUCACUACCCAAAUAUGGUAGUUCUCUCCAGAAAAGAUAGGAGGUGGAGGUAGAGGUGGUGUAAAGCUUCUAGAUGACAUUGCAAUAAAAACAAGAUAGAAACAACACUCUUUGUUCAACAAGAAAAACACUCAGAAGUCUCUCGAAGGCUAAGGCUCUCGAUACCAAUUGUUAAGAGUUUAGAGAAGUUGAGGGAACAAAAUAUAGAGAAAACAAAGAAAAAUACUUAGCAUAAUUUUUUACUGCUAUCAAAUUUUCUCAUCUUUUUUCAUUCAACAAGAAAUACAAUAUAUAUAUAUACGGGUGUAGUGAUUACAAGUAAGUCAACUACCCUACUAAUACACCUUAAAAAUACAAAGAUAUAACUUAUACAUAAACUGAUUAGGUAAAAGUCAGAAUCUAAAAAGUUAAAUCAAUACUAACUCUGCUUAUCUAACAAGUGAUCUUAGCAAGUAGACUAAUACAAAAAAAAAAACCCAUUACCAGCAUAUGCAAACCCUUCUUGAAAUACAUCAGGUGGGUUCGCCAACAACACAUAAUAGCUCACACUUUGAUGAGCUUGCAACUUUAGUUAAGCUCGCAACCAUGGAGCUAGCAGACUUGCUUGAGCUUCCAACUUUAGUUGAGCUCGUAGCUACGUAGGAAGAGUUCACCACUGCAUGAAUGGCCACUUUGGAAUAGAGGAAAAUAAAUUAAGAAAAAGAACAUGUAAGCAUAGGCGAGCGGGCAGGGUAGAAAUGAAAUUUUACACUUUUAGCUCCUUUAUAAUUUAUAAAUUUUAAAUUAGUAUAUGAUAAAAUUGUACAUUGACACUAAAAAAUAUAACUUUUUUAGUUGUUCUUUUAAAAAUUAUAAAGAUAUAGACUAUUAAAAAGAUAAAAUUAUAUUUUUACUUUCAUAAAAAUAUAUUACUUAAUUCCAACCCUCAAAAGAAUUUUGACUUUACUUAUGUAUAUAAGUGUAAUUAAUUACAAGCUAACUGAAAGAUUAAGUAAUAUUAAAAUAUAAAUUAACAAAGAAAAUCUAUUAUAUUGUAUAUAAGUUUAAAAGCUUAUUCGGGUACCAAGUAAAUUUAAAUGGCUUAUUUGAAUGUAAUUAAAGUAUAAAGACUUUAUUUAAAUAAGAUAACAAAAUUCAAGGGCUUAUUUAAUAUAUUAGCCAGUAUUGGAUUUAUAUUUCAUAUAUUGAUACCUAUAAAUUUAGAGUGAGUAUUUAGUACACUAGCAAUAUAUUUUUUUUAUUUUACAAUUAACCUUAAAAAAUUGACAUGUAUCAUUUUUUUAAAAUAUAUAUUUUCUAAUAAUUUAUUAUACCCUGUAGGAUACUUAUCAAUCUCUUAACCCUGCUUUAUGGAGUUUAAAAACUCCAAUAAAAAUGUAUCAAAUAUUUUCUCAUAAAUUUAUGUUUUAUUAGUGAAAUAAACGAUGACAAGUAUUGUAUUUUUUUUUAAAUUUAAUAAUUUUGAUACACUGGUGGUGGAAACUUUUAACUCUACAACUGGAUUAAGAUUUUUUCAUGUUUCCUUAAGUUGUAUUUAAAAUUUUUUAAAAUAAAUAAAUAUGACAUAUGGAAAGAUCUAAACCUCGCUUGUGGAGUUAAAAAUUUACAUCACAUGUGCACCACAUAAUUACCCAUAAUAUAUUAUUAUAUAAUUUAAGGGUUAAUAUUUGGUAAACUCAAAGUGUGUUGUCAUGUAUUUUUUUUAAAUAUUUUACUACACCUCUCUAUAGGACACUUGUCAAUCCCUUGACUUUGCUUGUGGAGUGUUAAAACUCCACUACUAGUGUGCCAAAUAUUUUCUCGUAAUUUAUUGAUAGUGUAUAAAAUUAUACAAUAUUAUUAUAUUACGGGAUAGUAUUUGAUACACUGGUAGUAGUGUACUUUUUUUAUUCCUCGAGUAGCUUUAAAAAAUUGAAAUAUGUAUUUUUUUUUUAAUAUUUUACUAUAAGCAUGUAGCACACUUGUCAAUAUUGAGAAGCACACCUUAGAGAACAAGAAUGAGUAAUUCUUUCAUAUGUAUUAACAAAGCAAUAUCCAACGAUAUAUAUACAAGCCAUAGUUAGCAGCUGAUUAACAACAACUGAUCAGUAACAGACUAACGAAUUGCUAACUAUACAAACAAACUAACUGCUAACAGCUACAACCAUUAAUUCCUUAAUAUGCCUCCAGCUUUCUCAUGACUGCUGACUGACCAGGUUUAGCAAUAAGCUUGAGACAUGACCUGAACUUUGUAAACAAAGGCCAGACAAAGGCUCAGUGAAUACAUUAGCUAUUUGCUCUUGAGCAAGAACAUGUCCUACUUGCAAUAGUCCAACAGCAACUCUUUCCCUGACAAAUAAGAGAUCUAAUUCGACAUGUUUGAAUUUCGAAUGAAGAACUGGAUUAGCAGAAACAGCAACAGCUCCAGAGUUAUCGCACCAAACAGCAGCUUUGCGAGUAGAAGAGAUAUGUAGCUCAGAGAGGAGAGAAUCAAGCCAAACCAUUUCAGUGACAGUGUGAGCAAGGCCACGAUAUUCUUCUUCAGCAGUGGACCUGGAGACUACUUUUUGUUUCUUGGAUCCCUAGGCAACUGGAUUCCCUCCGAGAAACGCACAGAACCCCGUAGUAGAUCGUCUAUCAUCCACAUCGAUUCCCCAAUUAUCAUCUGAGUACCCUACUAAAUCCAGAUUGGCAGCUUUAGUGAAAUGCAGUCCAUAAUCCAUGGUGUUCUGAAGGUACCAAAGAAUACGUUUCACAGCCUUAAAGUGUUGAUCUAAAGGUUGAUGCAUGAACUGGUAAACCUUAUUGACAACAAAGGCGAUAUCAGGCCUGGUGAUGACCACGUACUGUAAUGCACCCACAAUACUUCUGUAAUCCGAGGCAUUCUCCACUGCACUGCCAACAUGGAGAGACAAAACACAGGAGGUGACCAUGGGCGUAGGUGAACCUGUCGCUUGAUCCAUCUUGGCUCUCCGUAGAAGAUCAAGCACAUAUUUCUGAUGACUUAAAAAUAGCCCUUCAGUAGUAGGAAGAACCUUAAUUCCAAGGAAAUAAGAAAGAUGCCUCAAGUCUUUCAAGGAAAAUGUUUUAUUCAAAAUUGUGACAAACUCAUCAAUGCUACCUUUGUUAUUCCCAGUAACAAUGAUGUCGUCCACAUAACAAGGACAUAGAGACAAACAUCCUUAGUUUUUCGAACAAACAAAGAGCUGUCUGAUUUUGUCAAAACAAACUAGGACAUGAGUAGGAAGUCUCUCAACUUAGAAAACCAAGCUCGGGGAGCCUGCUUAAAACCAUAUAGAGCCUUCUUGAGUUUGCAGACCAAAGGUUGAUCACCAUGAUUUUGUUCAAAACCAGGAGGUUGAACCAUGUAAAUUUCUUCGGACAAAUCACCAUUAAGGAAGGCAUUGUCGAUGUUGAGCUGCCGGAGAUGCCAACAAAACUUUACAGCAAGCGUUAGGUCAACACGAAUGGUUGUUGGCUUAACAACCGGACUAAAAGUCUCAUGGAAGUCAAUGCCAGCUUCCUAAAGAUACCCUUUGACCACCAAACGUCCUUUGUAUCGGGCUAUUGAACCAUCGGCAUGUCUUUUGAGCUUAAACACCCAUUUGCACCCCACAGCUCUCGGGUUGGCAGGUAAGGGAACCAAGUCCCAUGUCUGAUUUCUAAAUAAUGCAUUUUAGCUGCUAGAGCCCAUUCCUUAGAUGACAAAGCCUCCUCAAUUGUAGUCGGUUCAGAAACACCAAUCUCUACUGAGAAGACACGAGGUUUGAAAAUUCCACUCUUGGACCGGGUCUGCAUGGGGUAAGUGUUGACAGGAGGAGUAGGAAUUGACUCAUCAACCGGAACACUACUGGACACCAUUUAAGAGGCUGGUGGAGAGACCUCAGCAGGAGAAGGAGAAACCCGAGUACUGCUAGCUGAAUGGGAGACAACAUAGUAGCAGCUGGACGAGGCUGAAUGGUAGCAGACCCUGAGGAAGCAGACCUAGCAGAGUGAAGAUCGGACGGAUAGCGUACUACUGGGACUGAAGAUUCGUGACGCUGGAACUGAGAUGAAGCAAUAGCAGACACAGAACUAUCUGGACACCAUAUUGAGAAGCAUACCUUAGAGAACAAGAAUGAGUAAUUCUUUCCUAUGUAUUAACAAAGCAAUAUCCAACAAUAUAUAUACAAGCCAUAGUUAGCAGCUGAUUAACAACAACUGAUCAGUAACAGACUAACGAACUGCUAACUAUACAAGCAAACUAACUGCUAACAGCCACAACCAUUAAUUCCUUAAUAGUCAACUCUUUGACUCUACUUGUGGAUUCUAAAAACUUCAUUAAUUGUAUACCAAAUUAUUUUCAUUAUAUUAAAUAUAACCCUUAUCUAAUUAAUUUAAACAAUGAGUAUUGUGUUGUUUUAUUUCCCAAAAAGACAGGUGAAUAUUGGGACGUAGACGUAUGAUACUAAAAACAUUGGUUGAAAUGAUAGUAUUUCUUUUUCUUUUUUUUUUUAGAAAAAAAUUAUAAUAUUUAAAAAAUAGAUAAAUUGUAUAAAUUAGAUUUUAAUAAGUGCUUAUUUGAUCCUCUAAUUUUAUAUAAAAAAUUAUUUUAACCCUUUAUUUAUUUAUUUUACUUUUUUUAAUCCUUAAACUUUUGUUUGUUGUACCCUUAAACUAUAUUGGUUUGUUUACUUUUGUUUUUUCGUUAAUAAUAUUGCUUUACCUUCAAAAAAGAUAUUAUGAUUAAACUAAAUACUAAUUAGAAAAUGUAAGGCAUUCUUACAACUUUAGCCCAUAGAUCUUUCAUUUAUUUGUCAAUUUGGUCCUUUUUUAAAAUUAAAUUUGACACUCAACCUUUUAAAAAAAUUAAUUUUGAUCAUCAACCUUUUAAAAAGAAUUGAAUUGAUUUUUUUAAUAGAAAUACUAACUAACACGUUAAAUUUGUAAACAUUGUAGCCCACAUUGCAAUCUAAGUGUACUUCAUGCUAUUUUUUGAAUUUUUAUGAAGCUUUUAUACUCUUUUAUUUUUGAAUAUUUUUAUAACUUUUAAAAUAUUUAUUGACAUGUAUAUAUGACAAACAAUAUCAUGCCAGAAAGAAGUGCAUAUAGACUACUACACAAGUUGACACAUCAACAUCAUUAAAGAAUAUUUUAAUCAACAUUUUUGUUAAAAAAUAACAAUUUAAGUCUUUUUGAAAUAUUAACAGCUAAAUUUAACUUAUAAUAGUAAUAAUUAUAAUUAUUAUUAUUAUUAUUAUUAUUAUUAUUAUUAUUAUAGUGGAAAAAAACUGUAAAACAAAAUUUAUCAGUGUACCAAAAAUUAAUGCUACAAACUAUCGUACACUCGUCCUUAUUAUUUUUGGAUUUAAAUAGAAGUGCAUCAACAAACCGAUUGUAAAUUAUUCCUACCACGUCAAUCAUGAUUGAUAUUCAAUAGUGAUGUAAAAAUAAUUUUCCACAUCACAAAAUUUUGCCAGCUCAUUCAGCUUCCUUCUUGGCCCAUUACUUUUUUUUUUUCUCUUCCUACCUGCAAGCUUUGUUCCCCAUGUUCUUUUCUUGCGAAGCCAAAACAACUACGAAACAAGUGACGAAGAAAAGUUUGAAGAAGAAGAAAAUGGGUAGGAUGGAGACCCCAUGGCUACGACGCCACUUAUAAGACCCAAGUCAAGAUCUGGUAAUUGGACGUCGAACGACAAUAACCCCUUAACCAGCUCCUUCUUUCACAUUGCUCAUUUAAGGUUUUUUAGUUUUAAAAUUUAUUAAUUAACUAAAUCUUUUGAAUCUGUUGAUUUUGGGAUUUUCUAUUUCUUUUAUGAACAGAUUUAGUGGAUCAAAUGGAAGGAAAUGUUUAUUCCAACAUUAAAUCAAUAGCCUCUUCACUUUUGCAUAUACAUAUGAUAUUAAAUGGGAAAAAUUACUAUUUUUUAAAUAAGAAAAUAUUGCUACUAUUCUUGAAAUUGUAUUUGAAUGUUUGAUUAUUAUGUUCUCUUGUUUUUCCAAAAGGAGAUUUUUAUUUUAUGAAUGCUGUUGAUUAAAACUGUAGGAGAAAGUAGCGAUCCGAUUACUUUAGCCAUGUUAGAUGAAGAAAAGAUAUGUUUAAAUGCUUUUUUCAUCAUUUAAAAUCUGGGAAACAAAGGUUUCAGGUAGGAAGAGGAAAAACAAAAAAGUAACACGCAAGAAGGAAGGUGAGUGAGCCGGCAAUAUAUUUUAGUGAUGUGUAAAAAUAGGGUAAUUUGCUAAAAAAAUCCCUUUUAUUUCGUUAUUUACCAAAAUAGCCCGACUUUUUGAUUAUUUACCGGAAAGGACCAUUUUUUCUGAAAGCGCGUCCACGUCAGCGCGAAGUUAGGGGACAUUUCAACAAAACGCUUCCUUGGGGGACCGUUUUGUCCAUGUCAACACAAAGCGCUUCCUUGAGGGCACACUUUGCUGACGUGGACAAAACGCUCCCCCAGGGAAGUGUUUUGCCUCGAUUUUUUAGGAUUAGGGUUUUUAUUAUUUUAGGAUUAGGGUUUUAGUGUUUUUAAGGGAAAUUUUAAUUUAAUUAGAGUUGAGGGUUAAUUAAUUAAAUUAACUAUGAAAUUAAAAAAAAUCAAUUAAAUUAGGGUUUAAGGUUUUUAGGGUUUGGAAAAAGGCAUUAGACCGAUUGACUCGGGAAUUAGUACAAACCUAUUGAUUAGGCGGUUAAAUCGGUUGAGCCAAUCUUUUAUUUUUUAUUUUUAUGAAUUCUUUGAUGAUUUAUUUCAUAGAUCCAAAUGGAUAGGUCAAACAGAUUGUACCGGUCAAACUGAUCGAACCGAUUAGACCAACAAACUGAUGGCCCAAUCAGUUCAACCACUAGUUAGGUUUUGAAAAUCGGAUUGGACCAGUUGGUCAGACCAAUUACACUGGGCAUAAGUGGACUUACUUAGGUCUAAAUGAAAAUUUUGAAUAUUUAUAUUGUAUUAAAUUAAAUGCAUGAAACUUCAUCACUGCUUUCAUAACUGAAUUGAACCAGUCGGUCAAUCCAAUUGGAUUGAAAAUCAAUUGAGGUACCAGCCCGAAAUAAGAGGUUAGAUUGAUUGACUCAUUAACUAAUCAAACUAGAUGAACUGGUGUUCGAACAGAAUGAAUUUAUUUUAUCUAUCUUUAAAUAUUUUUAUUUUUAAUAAUUUAUUCAACCAAACUAAUGGAUCGGUUGAAUCGAUUGAACUGAUAACGAUGAUCAGACUGUUCACCUAUUGGUCAAAUUCUGAAAAUUUUAAGUUUCGGUGACGAUAUAGUAUAAAUAAAAUUAAUUAUUUAUUGUUUGAGUUUUGAAUGAAGUGUGAAAGAAAAGAGAACAAAAAAAUUUAUCAAAUUUUUUAAUCAAUCUUAGAGUUUUAAAAUUGAAUUUGAUAUUCAAAAUUUAAGUCUUAUGAAAUUAGAGUUGGAUUUGCCAAAAUUAAAAUCCAACUUUUUAUUUUUUAUCCAACCAAAGAAUUUGGAGUUUCAAAUCUAAAUCCAACAAAUGAAUUUUCAAGUGUUUUCCUUAAAAAAUACUAAAAUCCUAAACCCUAAAAGCCCUAAACCAUUGAAAUAAUAACCCUAAAAAAUAAGGGCAAAAUGCUUUCCUAGGAGAGCGUUUUGUCCACAUCAGCAAAGUGCACCCUCAAGGAAGCGCUUUGUGCUAACGUGGACAAAAUGCUCCCCCAGGGAAGCGUUUUGCUGACAUGUCCCUUGACUUCGUGCUGACGUGAACGCUUUUUCGGGAAAAAUGGUCAUUUCCGAUAAAUAAUUAAAAAGUCGGGCCAUUUCGAUAAAUAACGAAAUAAAAGAGCUUUUUUUUAAUAAAUUUCCCGUAAAAAUAUUCUUACACGAUAAAUAAUUAAAAAGUCGGGCCAUUUCGAUAAGCUAGUCCUUUUCUUACUUUUCUUCUUCACCUCACAUUUGUUCACCGAUAACGGGAACAUCGGUAUAUCUUUUAUUGAUAACUGUGAUCCAACCAAAAGAAAAAGCAGGAGCCAGGAGAUUAAUUUAUUAGUAGAAUAAGACGUAGCGACAUAUAUGCAUCAUGGUUGAAAGGGAUACAGGGAAACCAUACGUGCAACAAACAGCAAAGUAGAAAUAAAUAAGAGUCCACAAAAGUAGCAACCUUUACGAUUCGAAUAAUGCAUAGGGCGCUUAUUGUCAUAGAUAGGUUGAUCAACAUCACUAUCUACAAAAAAGGUUAUUACCAUUACAAUUAUGUUUACCUGACUUGGAUUUUGUAAUACAAUUCGAAUAAUUUUCAGGGCAAGGCUUCGCUGCUGCCUUAUUAGCAUUAAGCGCCUCUAUAGAUAUGUGACCGCUACCUUGCUGGAGGAUUCUGAUAACGGUAGAAUCUAUCAUCAACAAAUCCAGCUCCGACUCCAAUUCUUCCCGGAUAACGCAGCCGCCGAGAAGGCCAUUGCACUGGUAAGUGGCAUUGCUCCUAAGUACUAGGACGGCAUCUC